rnacentral:lncRNA from 1 species
UUUAAUUUAAUGCAUGCUAAUUAAAAAAGGACUAGUAAUUAAUAAAUUAAACAUAUAAUAUUAAGUAUAAAUUACUUGAAAACAUACAACAAUUUGAAAAAACAAAUUGCAAUGAGAUGUGUAUGAGAUUUAAUGAUAUUUAGUAGGAUAAAAAAUUACCACUCAAUAGCUAUUAUUUUUUAACAGGAAAAAUAAAUAGUAAUUAUAGUUAUUUUUUUCUCCCCAGUGAAAAUAAUAAAAUAUUAAUAGAAGAUGAAAAAACUUGUUCAGCAAAACUGAAAAGUGAGAAACAUAUCUUAAUUUAAGAAUCCUAACUAAAGUAAGUAUCUUUUAGAGUGUUUAUUAUUGAUGCGGCUCUUUAAAUAAGAAGUAAAAUCUAAUUUGAAGAGGUUUUGGUAAUGCCCUAAGUGCCUCUUACGUGGUUGGUCCUCUUAGGUAACAAGUUUAUAUUUAAAUUUAAAGUUACAAAUUCUCAUCUUUAAUGUAUUUGAACUUUUCUACAAUCAUCUUGUUUGUUGCUUGUUUUUUUUUUUUAAACAAAACCUGAGUAUGAUUUCUUUAUUUAGUUUUUUAAAUUUUGAAAACAAUCCAAACAUGCUCAAGUUUAAUGGUCUUCGUUCUCCUAAAUGAGCAAAUCUUCAAUUAAUUAAUAAAAUUAUGAAAAUUAACUCAAUUUAUGCACGAGUUAAAACUCAAUUGCAAAGAAAGUCAUUGAGUUCUUGACAAAUACAAACGUAUUAAAAUUGUGGGGCUUGGAGGUUUGGUUUCCACUAUCUUGUCCUUAAGAUAUUGGAUAUUUAAGUCUUUAUUUAUACAAUUAGUUUAAAAUUUAUCACAAAUAGUUCGUAAAAAACAUAAAAAUACUACAAAAUAAUUAUAAACUAUAAGAAUAAUAAAGAUAUUGCGAUCGUGAAGUGUGCAUGUACUCUCUACAUAGAUCAAGUUUUGGCCCAUCUAUAAUUGUAUCGUCCUUUUUUAAUCUACAUAUCUAAACUUCGAACAAGGCCUAAUGUGUAUGUGGUCGUUAUGUACUUGCCCUGAGCCUUGAUAAAAGUGUGUUGUGACAUUGCCAUGUUGUACGGAGUGUGCCAUACCUUGUGCCAUGUUCGAAUACCCUGACCCACUUUUUAAAGCCUUGAUAAUGUGUAUGUGAUUGUUCAAUCUCUUUUUAAAAUUUCAGAAUUUUUUGAAUUCGUUUGGUACAACAAAUAAUUUUGUGAAAUUUGUUAUUCUACUGAAGUCACAGUUUUAUAGUGCAGCAAUGUCUGUUUUUAAAAAACAUAUAAAAUUAAAAACGAAGUCAAAUCUCGUGAAACAAAAUUUAUUCAAUAAGCUCUACAUGUCUUGUUUUCGGAAAGAUAAGUUUUUAAGAAGAAUCGUUUAGAAAAUAUAUGUUUAAUUUCGAGAUAUUCAUGUUAAUUGUCCAAAAUUGUCUAGUGUGUUUAUUGUAUCAAGGAUUGAUUAACAAGACUCAAUAAUAAAUCAAAGCCCUGAGCACAUCCUAAAUCAUGUGUAAUGAUAUGUAACAUUUUAAAAGCAUGCCAAUUGAAACCCUAAAUAGAGUGAUAGGAAAACUUGUGGACAAUAGGGACAGUAAAACUUAUCAACUGUUAUGAUUCUCUCCUAAAGAAAUGUUUGAAUCCUAGGAUAUGAGUAAGAGAGCAAUGAACAAUAGAGAAAAUAUAAGAACACGUUGACUUAGGGCUAAGGAAGAAGGAAAAGUAUGAAUUUAUAAGGAGUCCUAAGAAACCCUAUUAAAUUUGAAAAAAAGUAAGUUUUUUUCUAAAAUUAUCUCAUGAAUAAUCCUAUUUAUAUUUUUAGGAACAUGAUAUCUCCUUAUCUGAGUAUUACUGAGGUUUUAAGGAUCUUUUGUCAUGUGUCUUUUAGUGGUAGUGUAUGGGUAGUGGUAGUGUAUGGGUAAGAUUUAACUUCUUUUACUUUUUUAUUUAUUAACAACCAAUCAGUGAUUGAGUUAUUUGCUCAGGACAUGAUCAAAUCAUGAGAGAAUCUUUAUCCGUAUUUUUAAUAUCCUUAUUAAUAAGGGUUAUAUCCAUAUAUGAUUUCUAUUAAAACCAAAUUUCCAUAAUUUAAAUUAUGGAAAUUUAAUUUGGCGUUACAUGAAUAUUCGUUAGAGAAUAAGAUUAAAACCACGAUCAUUAGAAGAAAAAGACAAUGAUGAACACCUCUAAAACUAAUUGGUAAAACUGUAAAUGGAGACAAUUAGCCGUAUAAGCAAUUAACAUGAAAAAUCAAAUCUAGUUUCUCGUUGCCCCAAUUCUCAUAAGAGCAAUGUAAGCAAUAAGCCGAUAGCCCACAAGCAUUAUGGCUAAAGCAAUCACCGAAUAAUAUUUCCUAUGAAGCCCUACUUUUUUUAUAGUUGGAUGCUCUCCAACCAAGCAUAAUCCUCCCGAAUCCCCGCAUGGAUAUGUUUCAUUAUAAUUAUAUUGAGACCCCAGCAAAAGUUUGUACGUAUGGUGACCAAUUGAUAAAUAUUCGAUCCAUGCAAUGAAAGAGGGCACAUUUUGCACAUAAUACCCUCCUGCUAGCACAAAUAAUUGCAUGAUGAUUGAUCCGAGUAUCGUUGCAGAUUUUUGUUCCAUUACCAUUGCACCAAUGGCAAGCCCUAGGCCCUGUGACACUAGCACAGAAAAUAAAAGAACAAACAAGGUUUCAAAGAAAUUUGAAGCUGUUGGUUUAAGGCCUGCCAUCCAAUAAGUUAUGGUCACAAAAACUGUGGGAAUAACAAGCUUUAUUGGAAGGUCACUGAUGAUUCUUGACAUGAAGUAUGCUGAAAGCCUGUACAUUCCUGAAGAUAUUUCCUUUUCGAGCAUCUUUUGUUCCUGUGGGAACGUGAAAAUACAUUCCAACAUUGGGAAAAAUCCCCAAAAGUCACAAAAAAAGAAAAGAAGUCCAAUCUGCAAGCAUUUUUUGCCAAAACAAAAUUAAUUAAUUUACAAAAAAAAAACUAUUAAAUCAACAUAUUAAUUAAUUAUAUAUGUAUAUCCAAAAAGUCAAGAAAUUGCUACCUGAUCUUGUAUUUGAUAAAUACUAGAUUGCCACCAUAGUAGUCCUGAAAGGAAAGCAAUCACAAGGACUUCAAUAAUCUUGAGGCAGGAAAACGAUUCGUCCAUGAUUUCUUUGAUCCCUCUUCUGAGCAACACACGGAGUUGUUGCCACCAAGUUGUUGAGAAUCUUCUAAAUUGCUUGUCUUCUGGUUGAUCUUGAGAUUCAUUUUCAUUUUCUUGUGUUAGCUCAGCCUUCAAUUUGUCGGCAAGAUUUUUUUCAUAUUGAGAAAUUAGAGUUUGCUUGACCAGGGCUUGCUCCUUCCAUGAUCCAUUUGAUGGCAUCCCUACACAUUAAUGAUGCAUGCCUUACAUGGAUACUCUUAUAUCUGUUAAUUAUAAAAAGCUAUUGUAAAAGUUAAUUAGCACAUAUACCGCUUGCUAGAUCUAGAAGAAAAUCUGAAGGGUUCGUAGGCACUGAUGGGCAAUAUCCGAUGCUCGCAAAAUAAUUCAUAGCACCUGAUGCUUCUCCAGAAUAUAAAGGGUAACCUUCUGAUAACAAUAACACCUUAUGAAACAUGUAAUAUAGCAUAUUAGAAGGUUGAUGUAUUGUCAUCACAAUUGUUCUCCCUCCAUUUGCUAAUUUCAACAAUGUAGAUAAAAUCUGUUGAGCUAUUGUUGAAUCAAGACCCGAAGUGGGCUCAUCAAGAAACAAUAAGCUGGGGUUUAUCAAUAUUUCUUGCCCUAUACUAACCCUUUUUCGCUCUCCCCCUGAAACUCCUCUUGUCAGUGGCCCUCCUAUGAGGCUAUUCUUGCACUCGCUUAAACCAAGCUCGGUCAUCACAGCUUCUGCACACUUGAUUUUUUCUUUUUCGGUAAAACUAUUAGGUAAUUGAAGAAGGGCAGUGAAUACCAUUGUUUCCGUGACGGUCAAGUAAGGGGAAAGCACGUCCUCUUGAGUAACGAAGCCUGUGUUUCGCGUCAUUUGAUUCGAAAAAGGCUUCCCGUUGUAGGUAAUCCUUCCAUUGAUUCGCCCAAGUCGACCCCCCAAUGCAGUUAGUAGUGUUGUUUUGCCACAGCCUGAAGGGCCUAGCAUGGCUAGCAUUUCUCCUGGUUUAACCAUUCCAGUGAUUCCCUUUAAUAUUGCUUUUUCUUCAAUUUUUUUGUUGCUUCCAUAGAAUCCUUUCUUCAUUUUGAUCUUGUAUACAAUGUCCUCAAACUGUAAAACAAUGGAUUAAAUUAAAAAAAAAAAAGUUAAGCAGCAAUGAUGAAUCAAAAUAAAAGAAGUUUCUUUAGUUCUAAUAUAUUUUCCUUAAUUUGAAUUUCAACAUAAAUGAACAUUUAUUAUUAAUAAUACGUACAAGAUAAUCCUAUAAUAGAAUACUAAUUAAUAAUAAAAAAUCUAAUUAUACCAAUGAUUUUAUAAAAUAAGUUUGAAAUAAUUAUAGACAACAAAUGAAAGACGCAUCAAAUACGUGUUACGUACCUUCAAUGUAACAGGAUGUUUUGCUCUAGUGAAAACAUCUGAUGCUUCUAAUAAUUGAUCUUCUUUCUGAUCAGUUUGAGCUUCAUUAAUGUCAUUGGCAACCACUUUAAUCAUCUCCAUUCUGGUAUACCAAACCCAGCAACAUACAAUUGAUCUGUAAAACAAAUAUUCUUUAAUGCCUAGUGACUUUUAGUGAUUCAUCUUCUGGGUGUGACUGAGAGUUUAUAUUAUAUAGGCAAUGAAUAUUACAUGUAAUGUAAAUUAAAUAAUUUUAAUUUUUCCCGGAAAUUAGAGCUUCUUUGAUGGUUCAUGCUGGAGAGAUGAGAGUUUUUAAGGCUAUAUAUCCCUUACGUUUAGCCAUACACUCUUUUGAUGGUGCCAGUUACUAGAAUCUGGUCGCUGCCUUCUUUUUCAUCAUGUAUCAUCAAUAUAUCUAUCUAAUGUGCAUGCAAAGAGUACCUAAAAUGAAAAUCAAACAUAUUAGUCCAAAAGUAUAUUAAUCAAUGGUUUCAUUGCCACAAAAGUAUAUUUAGGAAAUGGAUACUUUUGAUCUAGCUUGCUUCAACCUUCGUUUCCCAUGUGUAUUUAUUUUGAAUUCAAACAGAACUUGUUUCUAUUUCCUAUAGUGAACAUCCGCUCCCUACUGCAUCCUACACAAAAUCCCACCAUUUAUAUUCUAAUGUAACAGUUUUUAUCUAAAUCUAACGUUGAAAAUUAUAUGGGAAAUUUUAAAUAAUUCUCAAAGAAUAUUAUCUAGAAGAAGAAAAAAUUAUUAGAUGAGUAAUAUAUGCUCAUUGCUAAUUGCUCCAUUCUAUCAGGUUGAUACAUGAGUCAUGAUAGACAUGUCCCAACAACCAUAGGUAUAUGAAAAAUAUAUUAGAUGAAAAGAAAUAUUAUAUGUUUUUCUCUGUUGUAAGAAAAAUAUAUAAUCGAUUGAGUGUAAAGUUUAGAAAGUUUAGAAAGUUUAGAAUAGACACGUCUCAACAACCCUCUGUGGAUAAGAUUAUCUUCCUUAUUAGCUUCAUUUGGGCUCUGUCUUAUCAUAUAAAUAAUAACAAGUAUUGCUUUCAUUAGGUGAGAAUAUUUCUAUAAAUUCAAGAUGACUGCUUUUUUUUAAUUAUUCUAAUGUCAUCAACAUCAAUCAGUCACAUUCCAUAUCACCAAAGACGAAAAACGUGCGGUCGAAUAUUUAAAAAUAAAAAAUAAAAAAUAAAAAUAAAAGAUUAUGCUGGUCUGCACCAUGUUUGGAGUUUGGCGAUGGUGAACAUAUUGGUUAACACAGAGCUUAAUUGAUCAGCUUUGGCCAGCCAAAUCAGAUCUACUCUCAACGCAAAGCUUAAUUCGGUAGUCUUUGAUUAAAAAUUUAGUACCUUUAAUCAGAAUCUUCAUUUUGAGCUUUAUGCAAGUCCUUUUUUUCCCUCCCCUCCCCCACCACCCAAAAAAAAUCAUUGGUAUUAAGACUCCACUCAUAAUAAUCCAAUAUUUGGGGGGUUAUUAUUUGGUGAUUAAAAUUAUAUCAUUAAGCACGAACUUUAUUAAUUAGGGGAGGAGUUGACUUUCUUGAAGAUCUCAUUUACAGUGUACUUACAUCACUGCGGAUAAUAUAUUACCAUAAUCGGCAGUCACCAAACCAUUUUGAUGACACGUACAAAAGAAAUGCAGGCAAAUUAUAGCCGUAGAUGGGCCUGAAAACGAAAGGAACCACUAAAUCAGGCUGACUUGUCAAAUAACGAACCAAUCCACUGCAAAUUCAUCAACUUUUGUGUCUACAGCAUUCUGAGCUCAGUAUCGCUUAGACCCUUACACAAUGCGUGUGUGUGUGUGUGUGUGUGUGUGUGUAUAUAUCCAUUUUGCUUGGAGCGGUAGUAGUGUUGGCUGUCUCACUUUACCAAAGGAAUAGAGAAAGCCACUAAUGAUCUCUAAAUUUCAUCACUUCUCUGCUUUCCUCUUCUUCCUUGUUCUGCUUCAGCUUUGGCCUGUUCUUUCUUUAGCUAAAAGCACUUGCAAUGAGAACGAACAAGUAGAUGUCAAAAGGUCUGAUUUCCCAGAUGGGUUCCUCUUUGGCACAGCCACUUCUUCGUUUCAGGCACGUCUUAGUUUUUCUUGUUUCAUUAUUAUUUUUAUUCAUUGCUGCAACGGUUGUUUGAUUUUCUUUCUGAUUUUAAGCUGCACAGGUUGAAGGAGCCUAUCUUGAGGAUGGUAAAAGCCUCAGCAACUGGGAUGUUUUUAGUCAUAUCCCGGGUAAUUAGUUAAACGAUACCUUUGAACAAAUAUAAGGCAUAAUCUUAGAAUAUGUGUGUGUGUGUGUGUGGAGGGAGAGAGAGAGUAUUUAUUCAGCAAUAUUUGAUCAAUCAAUUUUACAGGGAACAUAGAAAAUAAUGAUAAUGGGGAUGUUGCUGAUGAUCAUUACCAUCGCUUCUUGGUAAAAUAUCUUAACUUGUCAAAUUUUUUUUUUUCCCCAAUUUCACUUACCUUAUGGCUGUGAAUUUCUUCUUAUUAUUGGUUUCUAAAUUUUGUUCAUAGGAAGACAUUGGGAUAAUGCAUUCUCUUGGAGUAAAUUCAUAUCGAUUUUCGAUUUCAUGGCCUAGAAUUUUACCUAGUAUGUCCUUCAUAUCACUAUAUUCACUGUAAAUUAGGUUAUUAUUUCAACGGAUUGAUAUAUAUAACAAUGUUUUUGAGCUGCAAAUGUAGAGGGAAGAUUUGGUAAAGUUAAUCCAGCUGGAAUCAAUUUUUAUAAUUAUCUUAUAGACAAUCUCUUACUCAGAGGUAAGAUACUUUUCAAGAAUAAAUAACUGUAAAUUAUUCCUUGAAGAUGUUAUAAUAUUUGAAGAGAUGAAUUGAUAAUGCAGGAAUUGAACCAUUUGUGACAAUUUAUCAUCAUGACUUUCCACAACAACUUGAAGAAAAAUAUGGGUCUUGGCUCAGUCCUCAAAUGCAGUAAAUCUCUGCUUUUAUGCUACAAUUAAGAUCUAUUUUUUGAAUCCCAAAUAUUGUUUAGGGGUCAAAUUCUGCUGCCAAAAGAUCUGAUUGAACCAAUUCUUGCAGGAAAGAGUUUGUUCAUCUAGCCAAAACAUGUUUUGAGAAUUUUGGUGAUAGAGUUAAGUAUUGGGCAACUCUUAAUGAGCCAAAUUUAUUAACCGAUAUGGCUUAUAUCAGAGGCACGUACCCCCCAACUCAUUGUUCGGCACCAUUUGGAAAUUGCUCUGUUGGCAACUCUGAUACAGAACCUCUCAUUGUUCUGCAUAACAUGUUGUUGUCACAUGCUAAGGCUGUUAAGCUAUACAGAAAGCACUUUCAGGUAAUGCAUUGAGCACUCUUUUGUUGAGUUCUGGAGACAGUGCUUUUGGAGAAUACUCUGUUUAGAGUCUUUAGACUUAUAUAUCCUAAUUAUUAUUGGUUUGGUUGAGAAAUGGAAUGCUAAUGCAGGAAAAACAAGGUGGUUCAAUGGGAAUAGUUUUGCAUUCAAUGAUGUACGAACCGCUGAGGGAUGAAGACUCAGAUCGCCAAGCUGUGAGUAGGGCCCUUGCUUUCAAUGUGGGCUGGUAAGUCAUAAAUGCUUGAUUUAUAUGAACCAAAUUAUUGCAGUGUAUUAUUAAUGCCUUAUAAAUACAUAAGAUAUCAUAGAUGUAUAAUAAUACAUAAGAUAUCAUAGAUGUAUAAUAAUCAGUAACGAGGUAGUUGAUUUUUCUCUUCAAUCAGGAUGUUAGAUCCCUUAGUAUUUGGAGACUACCCUGCUGAAAUGCGUGAAUAUCUUGGAUCUCAAUUGCCAAGGUUUUCCAAAGAGGAAACUAAGUACGUCAAAGGCAGUCUUGAUUUCAUUGGCAUCAACCAUUAUUCCACUCUGUAUGCCAAGGACUGCAUCCAUUCUGUUUGUGUUUUGGGUAGCAAUCAUGCAAUCCGAGGCUUUGUUUACACCACUGGAGAACGGGAUGGCAUCAUGAUCGGAGAACCGGUGAUGUGAUCAUAAUUUCAGCUUAGUCGUUAUUCUCCAAUGCCCCCUCAGCUAACAAGUUCUAUUGUUUUUGUAUUGAGCAGACUGGGAAUCCAAGAUUCUUUGUUGUCCCAGAAGGUAUGGAGAAAAUUGUAGAUUACGUCAAAGACACAUACAAAAACAUCCCUAUGUAUGUGACAGAAAAUGGUAUGUGGCACAAUUAGAAGUAUUUUUUUUAACACUGAUAUAUUUUCAGAAGAUAAAAAAAUUGUAUUACAUAGAAUGAAUUUUUUCACUUUCCAUUUAUGUUGUAGGAUAUUCACCACCAAAGCAGAAAAAUCAACGAUCUCAAAAUUUAGUUGAUGAUGUCAAGCGAAUCGAGUACCAUUCAGGCUACCUUUCUGCUCUGGCCAGAGCUAUAAGGUGAGGCUUACGAGUUGAUGACCCACCAUAUACAGAGAAGUACAUUUUUUUCGUUUUUGCCCUCCAUUACAUAAUCUUUUGUCAUGUUACCAGUAUAUAGACAUAUCAAAUGGAUCAGUGUUGAUAAUGUAUGAUUUAUGCAAUCAAUAAACUUUAUCGUUAUCUAUCUACUGAAAUGUUGGAUGACAAUAAUGUAUUGGUAGGAAUGGGGCAGAUGUUCGGGGAUAUUUUAUUUGGAGCUUGAUGGACAACUUCGAGUGGCUAGAUGGCUACUCCGUCGUGUUUGGUCUUUACUACAUUGAUCGUCAAACGCUUGAGCGAACUCCAAAGCUUUCUGCUACGUGGUUCAAAAAUUUCCUCACAGACAACACUAGCCAUACCAUAGAAAAGAGCUCAAUCUAAAGUCUUUCAAGAAAGCUUCUAUUGCCGCUAAAUCAUGGAAUAGGAGUGGGAAUGUAAUGAACUCCUAUGGUAGGAUUCUAAAAUUCAAAAGCUGUCUUUAUAUGGGCUGUUGAAAGAAUUAAAAACUGGGCUACAUCCAGAUAAAUUCUGGACAGCCCAACAUUCUUAAUACACCGAGCCUUGGUGUCCACUACCUUUUCUAUAUAAAGGCGUCCAUUUAUUUAUUUUACUUUUGAUUAUUACGCUCUUAACCUUUGAGUCAAAUGACCGAACAGAUGAAAGAGAAAAACAUCACAAUUCAGCAAUGGGAUUAAAACAAAAACCUUGUUUUUACGCAAAACUUUACAUAUAAUAAAUUAAUAAUGAAUAUAAUUAAUUGAUAAAUUAAUCAGUUAUUAAUUUAUAACUAUAAUUCUUAUUUUUCUAAAUUAAUAUUUUGUAUAAGGUAAAAUUUGUUUAUUUAAGUUAGGAAGUGGUAAUGAGUUUGGUUCAAAACUAAAAGGUUUACAGUUUGGUUGGAUUGGAAUAAUUUUAAAGUAUAAAUUUUUAGAAGUUCGGAAGUUGAAAUUCCUCCCCCACUUGAGGGAUAUUAAAAAAACACGUUUGACAAACUUUAACUUCUCUGUUUUUAAAAGCUAUUAUUUUGAAUACAACCCUAAAAUCUAGUGUAAAAAUAAAAAUGAUAAACAUUUUAUUUAUUUUAUUUUAUUGUAUCCAAUUCAAUUUAAACACAGUUUUCUUUUUAUUUUAAACAAAUUUUUGCAGUACUUAAAAAAAGAAAUUUAACUUUUAAAAUUUAUUAUGUUUACAAUGUUCACAUCAUCCUAAUAUUAAAUUUCAAACUUUUUUUACAUAAUAUAUUCAUUCACGGCUAUUAAAUUCUUAGUUUAUUUUUAUUGCUUGUAUGUGGUACAUUCUCCUUUGUUCUACCUAUUUUGGCAUUUCAGAGCAUUUCACAUAUAAGCAAAUUUGUAACAAUUGGGUGCUUCGAGGGAAACACAAGUCCCCCAAUAUUUGCCUUCGAGUCAAAUUAGUAAAAUAGCCUUCUCAUUUAUUCAAUAUAUCUUAAAAUAUGUACAACCAGUACAAUGUUAAUUCCUCGCAAUUAGGGUGAUCUACUCAAAGGAAUCAAGACUCUUAACAAGUAAGACCUAUUUAAUUACUAAAAUAUGACUAACUCAAGGUCACGUUAAACAGCCGCGUCCUAAGCUUGAUGACUUAUUCAAAGACACUUGUUUAUUACUUGUUAACAUUAUGCCAUGUUCUUUUUUUUUUUUCUUUAGUCAGUCGUGACUUAGUCAUUAUUUAUUAUAUUAUUUUCUUUCAAUUUGUCAAUAAAGCUCCCCUCGUACCAUCGAGGUUACCCAAAAACACACACACGUAGUUGUUAUAACUUCUCCAAAGAAUUUAUAUUAUAAUAACAUCAUUCUGUCAAUUGUAUUAAAAUAUCGGCAAUUAUAGAUUAAAGUCAUCAAAUUUUUUUUAAUUACAAGUAAAAUGUUAUUAAAAAUUGUUCUAGAAAACAAUUUUACUUUUUCAUGCUUCAUUGUUCUUUUAUUCAAUUGGUUUACAUUUCUUUCUGAUUAUAAGCUAUAUAGGUUGAAGUUGCAUAUCUUGAUGAUGGUAAAACUUAAAAGCCUCAGCAACUGGGAUGUUUUCAGUCUCAGUGAUAUCUCUGGCAAUUAAGCUGAUACGUUUAAGAUAUAGUUCAGUUUGAAGCUACCGUUGGAAUAGUCCUACUUGAAGGUAACUUGAGUGAGUGCUUCUGUCAAAUCUUCCCCUAUUCAACUGUUUUAAAACUACAUGCGCCUUCCUUCACGGCUGGCUGGCUGGCUAAGCUGGGAAGGCUGGAAAGUAAGCUAGCUCGAUCGGAGGCAUACGUCAGGUCAGGUCAGUUCAGGGACAAGGGCAAGGCAGCUAAGGCAAGCAAUCAUUCAAUCUGUUUAUAGGCCACGUGGGGGCAAGGAGAAGGCAAGCGGAUAGCCCUAGCAAGAGCAGGUUUCAAGCUUCCAUUUCCUCUCCCGUUGGUCGAUAAUAUUCCAUUUUAUCAGCUCCCUUUGGUCGAGAAGUCAACUGACUUACAGUGCUUUCCACACCCCGCCCUUGCGCGUGUGCGUGUGUGUGUAUGGGUUCCCUUAAAUUUUACUAGUGUUUACAAAAAUUUGAUCAACCAAUAUUUUUCCUGGCAACAAAGAACAUAAUGAUAAUGGAGAUGUUGUUGAUGAUCAUUACCAUCGCUAGCUUUUUGGUAAUAAAGUCUUGUCGUUUUUUUCUAGCCUGUUAUUUUUUUUCCAUUCCACUUACCUUAUAGCUAUGAAUUUCUUCUUCUCAUUAUUUGUUUCAAAACUUUUGUUUGUGCACAGGAUAAUAUUGAGAUGAUGCAUUUCUCUUGGAAAAAAGAGAAGGGAAAUUACCAAUUUGAAUCACUUUCCAACUUUCAUUUAAAAAAAAAAAAACAUAUUUUCAAUAUUUUUCUUACAAUAUCAACCAUUUACAAACCUUUUGGAUUAAAAUAACCCUAAAAUUAAAAAUAAAAAUUAAUGAAAUCAAAGCUCCAAGCAAUAACCAAAUCUGAUCUCCAUAAUCUAAGUACUAAUAAAACACACUCUUCAUUUUACCCAUCUCACAUUCAUCAAACAAUAAGUUAUAAUUUAGGUAUCACCCAUUUCACAUUUAUCAAACAAGAGUUUUUAUCAAGUACUGACAAUAAAAUCAUUCAACAAUUUAAAGAGCAUGAAGAUGUUAAAGUGAGUGUUUGUUUAAUUUUUAUUGUUUUGAGUGGGUUUGGCACAAAGGGUGCUUUUGUCCACUUUAUUGUAAUGUUAUGUGGGUACAUUAAAUGGUUAAUAUGAGUUAAGAGAUUCAUAAAUUAGUAAAAUUCUUAUAAAAUCCAGUGAAAUUGAGUGCUUCAUAAUAUUAAAGACAAAAACCAGAAUCAUAACACCAAGUGCCCAUCACCCAUGCGACAUAGGAGUCACCUAGACUUACAACAGAGUGUUAUUUAGACAACGGGUGCUCGUUGACCGGGUGAUAGACUCGCCUAGAUCACAUGCAAGUUCAUAUAAACUCUUUUCACCUGAGCGACAGGUGCCUGUCACCCAACCGACAGCACUAGUCGUUUAAAUCAUUCAAGUUUAUAAAUAAUCAAUUAUUUAAUUAAUAAUAUAAUAUCAUUAUUCGAAGUGUUAUUAUUAUUUUGCAUCAAGUUAAUGGCAUCCUUUAUGCCUAAGAUGUAUUUUGAUGGGUUGAAGGAUGGUUAAAAAGAGUACGAGAAUGAAAAAGUUAAAUUCAAAAUCCCCUAUGGCAAGAAAGUAGCAGAAAAUUGAUUUAUUGAACAACUCAAAUUGAAUCUGGUUGGUUAUUUGCUUGAAUAAGUUGUGUGAAAGAACAAACAAACCAGAAAAGUAAAAGAGAAGAGAGCACGUAUGAUAGAUGAGAGGGGAAAGAUUUUCUAUUUUUAUUUGUUUGCUAACUUCGGCUUACAAUUGAGACAUAUUUAUACUAACUUCAAUCCUUAUUGUCAUAAGGAAUUAAUCUAAUCUGACUCAAUAUUAAAUUAGGAUUCUUAAUAUGACUAAAAUUAAGUAAACUUGAAAAUCAGAUUAAUUGACAUUCUCCCCCUUAAUGUGAUGUUCUCAACUCCCAAAGCUCCUUAGUUGAUGGAAUUUGAUUUUGGCAAAGCCUUUGUGAAUAUAUCAGCCAUGAUUAGAGUUAAAAAAUGUAUGUUUGUUAAAGGGUAAACAUGUUAUUUUGUGCUAUUAUUGUAAUUUAUAUUUGUAAUUGUGUAACAUAUUGUGAACUUCUAAUUAUUUUUCUAAGUAUUUGAUUUUGUGUAUUUUUGUUUGUUUAUUAGUUAAAAGUAAUAAUUUCAUGCAAUUUGAGGCUCCAAACAAAUGUACAGAUAUCAAAUUUGGAUUUUGAAAGUCCGAGAAAGUAUGUCAUUGUCGAGGAGGAUUCGAGACUUUUGUUUUAAAUUUUUAAGUUUUUACCACGGUAAAUGUGGUAAUUGUAAAAUUAUAAGUUUUUAUCAUGUUAGGUAUGGUAAUUGUUAGUGUAAUGUGUUGGAUGUGCUUGAGUGGAUUAAGUUACCUUUAUGUUUUAUUAGUGGGACAAAUGUAAGGUUAAGAUGUAAUUAGAUAUAUUUAUUUGUGUGGUGUAGAUUUACCAUGUACUAGUAUAAAUAGGGGGGAACACACCUCUUCACACAUUCUCUUCUCUUCUUUCCUCUCAAAUUCUCCUUCUCAUCUCUCUUUGUAAUAUAUUUUCAAUCAAUAAAAUUAGUUUUAUUUCAAUUUUCAAAUUCCAUUUUUUUUAAUUAUGUGUUUUUCAAUUUUAAUAAUUUCCUUUAUUUCAAAAAUGUUUAGCUAAAUAUUCAUAGUUAGGGGAAGGUGAAACUCUUAGUAAAAAUAUGGUUUAAUCAAAUUCUAUUUUUAAUUUUAUAAAUUAAAUUAUUUUCUAUUUAAUUUUAUCUAUAUUUUAUAUUUUGAAAUUUUGAUUUAUUAUAGACAAACAUGAGAGUUUGGCACAAUGAAUUCUUAAUAUCUUAGCAUAAAGUAUAGUAAAAUGGUAUUUUGAUUUAUUGUAGACAAAUUAAGUUUUGGCACAUUAAGUUCUUAAUCCAUAAUAAAAUAAAGGGGAAAAUAAUUUUAAUUUAUACAGUCAUAAUAAAAUAAAGGGGAAAAUAAUUUUAAUUUAUACAAUUAAUCUUUUAGAAAAUAAAAUAAAAAUAAAAAUAAAAAGAAUUUGUUAAGUUGUAUUUCUUACUAAGAGUGGAUCUAUAACUCUAACUAAUUCAAUUUCAUAGUUUUUCUUAAAUUAUUUGCAUAUUUUUUAUUUUUUAUUUUAUUUUUUUAUAAACUUAAAUAAACAAAUUAAAUCAUUUCUCUGAGGAUCGACUUCGAACUCACCGAGUUAUAAUAUAAUAAGACGUUAUUAUACUUGAAAGUUAAAAAUCACUUUUAAGUCAUGUCAAGUCACCUACUCUUCAGACUUGCAAUGCUUGAGUUGAAUGUCUCCAUUGCCAAUUGCUUCUCGUAUAAAAUGAUCCUUGAUACUUAUGUGUCUUGUUCUACUAUGAUAAACUGAAUUCUUUGCCAUGUAUGUAGUUGAUUUGUUGUCAAAAAACAUUUUUGUAACUUCAUCUUGCUUUUCUGAAAUAUCUUCUAAAAUUCUUCGUAGCCAAAUAGCUUGAGAAGUUGCCAAUGAUGGUAAAAUGUAUUCAACUUUAGCGAUGGAUAAUGCCACUGUUUGUUGCUUUUUUAUGCCCAAGAAAUUAUGCUAAAACCAAGUGAAAAAGCAUAACCCAAAGUGUUUUUCAAUUCAUCGAAACAGCCACUUCAAUUACUAUCACAAAAACGAAUUAACUUCACAUUUAUAUCUCUAUUAAAUUUCAAGCCAUAAUUCAUUGUGUCUUGUAAGUAUCUUAGCACUCUUCUUGCUGCGCCAAGAUGAAUAUGGCUUGGUGUUUACGUAAACCUUGACGGCAAACUGGAGGAAAAAAUGAUGUUGGGUCUUGUGGUUGUGAGAUAAAAUAAGUUCCCAAUUUAUCUUCAUUCGUUAAUUUUUCAAUUAGUACAGGGGAUGUUGAUACUGGAUUGUAGCCAUACAUCCUAAAUUUCUUAAGAAUAUUUUCAACAUAUUUCUUUUGGCAAAUAAAUACUCCAUCACUUUUUGAUAAAUUUCAAUGCCAAGAAAAUAAUGCAACAUGGCCAUGUCGCUCAUUCAUAUUUUUUUCAUCAUCUCCAUUUUGACUUCUUCAAUUAUUUUCCCAUUGUUGCCAUUAAAAAUCAAGUCAUCAAUAUAAAGAGCAACAAUAAGAAUGUCAGACACACCUUGGCACUUCAAUAUAAAGUGGGAUCACGCUUGCUUUCGUUGAAUCCUUUUUCUAAGAAGUAAUUAUCAGUCUGAGUGUACCAAGCUCUUAGAGAUUGUUUCAGGCCAUACAAAGCUUCGUUUAGCUUAUGUGCCUUAUGUUCUUCUCUAUUGACGACAAAUCCUUAAGGUUGUUCAACAUAAAUAUCUUUUUCCAAUUCUCCAUUCAAGAAUGCCAAUUUGACAUCAAGCCAAUUUGACAUCAAGUUGACAUAGCAACCAGCCUCUUCAUCCAGCCACUGCAAUAAUAGUUCAUAUGGUGUAAGCUGAGCAACUAAAGGAAAAGUUUCAUUGUAGUCAAUACUAAGUCGUUGUGAAUAACCCUUAGCCACCAAUCUUGCUUUGUUUCUCUAUACACUUCCAUUGGAAUCAUAUUUCACCUUAUAAACCCAUUUUACUCCAAUUAUUUCUUUGUUAAUUGUUCUACCCACAAGUUGCCACAUUUUAUUCUUCUCAAUGACAUUGAUUUCUUCUUGCGUGGCUUUUUUCCAAGCUUCAUUUCCUAUGACUUGCUCAAACUUUUUAGGUUCAAAGACACAAAAGUUGCAUCUCGCAUAAAUGUCAGCCAAACUCUUCAUUUUUCUUGUACUUGUAGAUGAACUUGAUGAGUCAAUUGAUGCGACAAUGAACUUGAUGGUGGAGAUACUUGAGGUGAAUUUUCAUUGUUUUCAAUAUCAAUGAUUGAUUGUCUUUUGAUUUCUUCCACAUUAAUAACCUUUUGUUCGCCAGCUUUGCUCCUAAUUCCAUGUUGCUUUUUCAUCAAAUAACAUAUCACGGCUUAUGAAAAUCUUAUUAAUCUUUAAACUAUACAACCUAUAGCCUUUAGAUUGUGAGCUAUAACUGUAAAAAUGCACUUUUCACUUGUCUUAUCAAGUGUAUGUCUCUUUUCUUUUCUUUUUUUGGGGAACUUGUGAUUAGCAAAUACAAUCAAAUAGUUUGAGAUGUCUCAUUGAUGACUUUCUUUCGCUCCAGGCUUCAAUUGGUGUUUAAUUUCAAAAUACUUUUGUUGGGCACCUAUUUAUCUAUUAUACAGUCAUAUAAAUCACUUCACCCCGAAAAGAUUUUAGCAGCCCCUUUUUAUGAAGCAUUGACUUGGCCAUCUCUAUCAUAGUUUGAGUUUUCCUUUUGGUUACCCCAUUUUGUUUUAGAGUUUAGCCAGCAGUAAGUUGUCUUUUAACAUCUUCAUCUUCACAAAACUAAUAAAAUUUUCUUGAAUUAUAUUCUUUACCUCUAUCGCUUCUCAAAAUAUUUAUAUAAUUUCCACUUUGUUUCUUAACAUAGCUUUUAAAUCUCAUGAAAAUUUUAAAAUUUUCAGAUUUUUACUUCAUAAAAAAUACCCAUGUCAUUCUAGUAAAAUCAUCAAUAAAUAGAAUGAAGUACCUAUUUCUACCAUGAGAGAGUGUAGACAUAGGUCUACAAACAUCCUUGUGAACUAAUUCAAGUGCUUUCUUUCCAUGCAACUCCUUUGGGAAAAGGCUGUCGAUGAUGCUUUCCAAGUGCAUAACCUUCACAAUCUCCUUCCUUGUUUUCAAUGCAACUUGACAACUCCACGAUUAUAUUAUUUUGAGAAAGUAAUUUCAGUCUAUAGAAAUUUAAAUGCCCAAAUCUUCUAUGCCACAACCAUGAUUCUUUAAAAUUGCCUACUUUCAAAGCUAUAUCUCCUCCAUAUUUAAAAACAAUCGAAAACUUCUAUUUUUCUCCAUGUUUGUCUUCUUCACAAGAUGUAUGUUGACUUUUCUUGCCAUAAAUAUUUUAGCCAUUAUCUUCAAAAUUAACAACGUACCUAUGUUCUAAAAGUUGUCUAAUCUAAGCAAUUUUUACUAUAAGUUUGGAACAAGUAAUGCAAUAUUUUGUAUAUACUUAGUUCCAACAUUGGUCUGAAACCCAAUUGUCCCUUUUCUGUUUACUUGUACCAAAACACCUUUCUUCAUCCUUGCUUGUGAGUUAACUGAAGCAUCCCUAUCAAGGAAGAUUUUUUCGUCACUGGUCAUAUGAUUGCUACAGCUACUAUCAAGAAACCAAACAUUAUUUUAUAUUUAGAGGCACUUUGACAAGCAAUAAUAAAGUCUUAUCUCCUUUUUUCUCUUCUGCCAUACUUGCUUGUUGAUUGCUUUUGUUUGUACAAUCCUUUUUUGAAGUGUCCAAUUUUUUUUGCAAUUAUAACAUUGAGGUUUGCCUUUCGACCAACAAUCUUUUUCCACAUGACUGCUUUUUUGCAAAUAUUGCAUCCUUGUUAUGCUUGUGACCCUUCUUCAUCUUGUGAUUUUUUAUUAUAAUUACAUCAUCCUCUUCUUACACUUCCUUCUCUUCCUCGCCCCCUUCCUCUUCCUUAACUACCACCUCUUGAAGAAUUACUUUGAUUAAAUUAAGUUAAGACUGAAAUGCACUUCAAAUAGAUUUUUGGGAGCGUCACAACAAUCUUCACUUAAAAGAUUUUAAAGAACCUUUCAAUUCUUGAAUCGUCAUUGUAGAACGAUCUUUUAUCUCUUCUAUAACAAAAACAAUAAGAUCAAAAUUUUCAGGCAAAAUUCAGUCUUUUCAACUAUUUUUUACCUUCAAUUUGAUCACCAUAUAUUUUGAUUUGGUUCAUAAGUUUUGUGAAUCUAUCUAAAAAUUCUUGCAUGGUUUCAUUCUCCUUCAAAUUGAUAUUUUCAAAAUCUCCUUUGAGAUCUUGAAGUUUAGAGAUUUUCACUUUUGAUCUCCCUUUGAAUUUGUUAUGAAGAAUAUACCAUGCCUCCUUUGCUUUUAUUGCACCAAUAAUUCUUGGAAAAAUUGAGUUGGACACUCCUUGUAGAAAUUUCCCAAAAGCACUGGCAUCUGUUUGUUGCUUUUCUUUUAAUAUUUUUUCUGUGCCUGUGACAAAUUUUUUGUUGAUUUGGGUUCUUCAAAUCCUUUCUCUACUAACUCCCAUAAAUCAAGAGAGAUGAAAAGAGUUUUCAUCCUUACACACCAAAACUCAUAGUUCUCACCCUCAAAGAGUGGCACGUAUGAUUGUUGUUGAAUUGGUGUACUUGGGGCACUCAUAUUUUGUUUUGCUGACUAUUAUUCCAACAAUAGAUUUUUCUUUUUAGUUUUUUUUUUUGAUACAGCCACCUUUUGUCUUCACGCUCUGAUGCCACCUUAAGUUGGUUAUUUGCUUAUAAGCUAUGUCAAGGAACAAACAAACUAGAAAAAUAAAAGAGAAUAGAGCACAUAUAACAUAGGAAAGGAGAAAGAUGUUCUAUUUUUAUUUGUUGGCUAAUUUAGUCUUACAAUUGAGACAUACAUAUACUAGCUUCAAUCCUUUGACGAAUUAACCUAAUUUGACUUAAUAUUAAAUUAUGAUUCCUAAUAUGAGUAAAAUUAAGUAAACUUGAACAUCACAUUAAUUAACAAAUAUAACAAAUAUCAAUCAACUUAGUUCAUAUACAUGUAGUCACAAAACUAAAUAUUGUUAAAUUUAUAACGCAACUUGGGAAUCGAUCCUUGAUUGGUAUCUUCAAUUACCAAAGAUCAUGUUGGAUCAUAAACUUGAUCCAAGAUGAAUAAAUCAAGCCCAACUCAUGGAAGGUUCCAUGAGUAGGUAUGGUUGAUGAGGUUUGAAUUAUUUGUGUUAGGUGUGUUAGGUGUGGUUGGUGAAGUAGGUAAGUGGUAGGUUUUAAUGGAUGGUGAGGAUUUGUUUAUUAGUUGAAUAAAUGAAUGGUUGUGAUUAGUUUGUUUCAUGUAUAAAUACCCCCUCUCCCUUUUGGUUUAAACAUCAAGUGAAGUAGCAAAAUCUCUAAGGUGUAGAGAGUGAAAAAUAAGAGUUGUAAUUGGUGAGGAGUGUUGUUGAAGAAAUAAAAUAGUGUGUUUUUGUGUGUUUUAUCUGUUAAUUCUCCAAUAAAGUGGUAUCAGAGCUAGUGCUUGAUGCUAUAUAUAGUCAUAUAGCAUAUCAAAUCGAAGAUCUCGACGAGAGGAACGUGACGCCGCAAAAAUCAUCCCGAUCCAAGACCGAACACACCCACACUUGCCGCUAAAAGGUUUCUGUCCUGAAGCUGAGUCAACUCACCGAGUUGAACCAAGCCGAGCCAAGCUGAACCGAAUCAAGUCGAACCGAGCCAACUCGACCUGAACCAAUCCGGACUGAACCAAGACUACCAAGCCAGUGUUGACCGUUGACCGACGUUGAAUGUUGACCGACGUUGACCGUUGACUAGCGUUGACCGUUGACCAAAAGUUGACUCGAGUCCUUCCCAAGGUUUUUCGACGUGCCGGAUCCAUCUGUGCUUUCAGAAUCUUUAAAUUCUCACUCAAUUUGUGAGUUAUGGCAAACGGUGGUAUGAUGUCAUUUCAAGUUCCACAAUUAAAGGGAAGUAAGUUUGACAAUUGGAGUAUUAAAAUGAAGGCUCUAUUAGGCGCACAUGACGUAUGGGAUGUCGUGGAGAAAGGCUUUGUUGUGCCAGAAAAUGAAGCCACUUUAACUACGGCGCAGAAGAAGAAUUUAAAAGACUUGAAGAAGAAAGAGAAUAAAGCAAAGUCUCUCAUCUUUCAAUCAUUAGAUGAAGAUGCUUUUGAAAAGAUUGCUGGUACAACCUCCUCAAAAGAAGCAUGGGAGAAACUAGAGACCUCUUACAAAGGAGCGGAGCAAGUUAAGAAGGUUCGUCUCCAAACAUUACGACGGGAAUUUGAGUCCUUACACAUGAAGCCGUCGGAGUCAAUUUCUGACUACUUUACUCGGGUUGUGGCUGUUUCCAAUAAAUUAAAAAAAAGGAUCAUUGAAAAGAUACUUCGAUCAGUAGAGUCGAAGUUUGACCAUAUUGUUGUGACAAUUGAAGAAACAAGAGAUCUGGAGGAUAUGACGAUCGAGCAACUUCAAGGAAGGUUGCAAGCCUAUGAAGAAAAAUAAAAAAAGAAGUAAGAUUGAAGAAACAAGAGAUCUGGAGGAUAUGACGAUCGAGCAACUUCAAGGAAGGUUGCAAGCCUAUGAAGAAAAACAAAAAAAGAGGCAAGGAAUCGAAGAACAACUUCUCAAGAUGGAAGUCAAUCCAAAGAAAAGAGAAGAAAGCUCCGACAACGAGAGAAAGCACUAUGUCCGAAGUAGAGGUCGAGGAUGAGGUAGAGGUCGUGGUCAUGGACGAGGUUGGAAUUUUAACAACAACAACUCCAAUUAUGCCAAAGGAGAAAGCUCAACUAGAGGACGAGGCAGAGGCAAUCCAAGAUCGAGGUAUGACAAAUCCCAAGUACAGUGCUAUAAUUGUCAAAAGUUUGGGCAUUAUGCUUCAGAAUGCAGAGCUCCAAGCACCAGAAUUGAAGAGAGAGUGAACUAUGCUGAAGAGAAAAAUGGUGAAGAUGGCACACUUUUACUAGCACGUAAUGACACAAGUCGAGGUUAAGAAAAUACAUGGUAUCUUGACACAGGUGCUAGCAAUCAUAUGAGUGGAAACAGAAGCAUAUUCAUGCAACUAAGUGAAUCUCUGAAUGGCAGUGUCGCUUUUGGAGAUGAUUCAAAAGUACCAGUGAAGGGUAGAGGUAACAUUCUUUUUCGUGCAAAAGAUGGUAGCCACCAAAUAAUUUCGAAUGUUUACUAUGUGCCCAAUAUGAAAUCAAUCCUGGACUUGGCAUCUUCGAUAUGGGCAUCUCAACUUUGGAGGACUAGAGCUACUAUCUAAGAAGAACAUAGUGAAAGGCUUACUAUACAUCAAUCACCCUGACCAACUUUGUGAAGGAUGUUUACUUGGCAAGCAGUUUAAAAAGAGCUUUCCAAAAGAGUCAAACUCAAGAGCUCAGAAGCCACUCGAGCUCAUUCAUACUGAUGUGUGCGGUCCAUUCAAGCCAAACUUCCUUGGUAAAAGUAACUACUUCAUUCUCUUUAUAGAUGAUUUUUCAAGAAAAACUUCUGCUUAUUUUUUGAAGCAAAAAUCAGAAGUCUUUGAAGCUUUCAAGAAGUUUAAAGCUGCAGUUGAAAAAGAAAGUGGAUACCAGAUUAAAGCCAUGAGAUCUGAUCGAGGUGGAGAGUUCACUUCCAAAGAAUUUUUAAAGCUGCAGUUAGAUGAUUUUUCAAGAAAAACUUGGGUGUAUUUUUUGAAGCAAAAAUCAGAAGUCUUUGAAGCUUUCAAGAAGUUUAAAGCUGCAGUUGAAAAAGAAAGUGGAUACCAGAUUAAAGCCAUGAGAUCUGAUCGAGGUGGAGAGUUCACUUCCAAAGAAUUUUUAGAGUUUUGUGAAGCAAAUGGAAUUCGAUGCCCUUUGACAGUUCCAAGAUCCCUUCAACAAAAUGGUGUUGCAGAAAGGAAGAACAUAACCAGCCUCAACAUGGCAAGAAGCAUGCUCAAAAGUAAGAGGCUACCUAAAGAAUUUUGGGAAGCAUGCUUAAGAGUAAGAGGCUACCUAAAGAAUUUUGGGCUGAAGCAGUUGCAUGUGCAGUCUACUUAUCCAAUCGAUCUCCAACAAGAAACGUGUGGGGUAAGACGCCACAAGAAGCUUGGAGUGGAAAAAAACCUGGCAUCACCCAUCUAAGAGUUUUCGGAAGCAUUGCCCAUGUACAUGUACCAGACGAAAGUAGAGCCAAGCUGGAUGGCAAAAGUGAGAAGUUCAUCUUCAUCGGCUACGACAACAACUCUAAAGGAUACAAGUUUUACAAUCCCCACUCCACCUAUCUCACCAGCACCAACCACAUGCGGAGAUUCACCGCCGUCUUUCUUAAAUGAAAUAACCGAAGAACGUACAAGGAGUCUUUAAGAUCUCUAUGAGGUAACUGAGAGAUAUGAUAAUCUCACUCUCUUUUGCCUCUUUGCUGAUUGUGAGCCAGUCAACUUCCAAGAAGCUGCACUAGAUGAGAAGUGGAGAAUUGCAAUGGAUGAAGAAAUCAAAGCCAUUGUGAAGAAUGAUACUUGGGAGCUUAUUACUCUUCCAAAAGGUCACAAGGCGAUCAGUGUCAAAUGGGUGUAUAAAAUAAAAAGAAAUGCGAAGGGAGAAAUUGAAAGGCACAAGGCGAGGCUAGUUGCAAAAGGCUAUAGUCAAAAGGCUGGCAUAGACUAUGACGAGGUAUUUGCUCCUGUAGCUCGACUUGAAACUAUUAGACUUAUUAUUUCUUUGGCUACUCAAAACAAAUGGAAGAUUUUUCAAAUGGAUGUGAAGUCUGCUUUCUUGAAUGGAUUCCUUGAAGAAGAAGUUUACAUCAAACAACCAUUAGGCUAUAUGGUGAAAGGACACAAGGACAAAGUUUUGAGAUUGAAGAAAGCUCUUUACGGUUUAAAGCAAGCACCAAGGGCAUGGAAUAGCAGAAUUGACAAGUAUUUUCAAGAGAAAGGCUUCACCAAAUGCCCAUAUGAACAUGCUCUCUACGUCAGAGAAAAAGAUGGAGAUAUUUUGAUUGUGUGCCUGUAUGUGGAUGAUCUCAUCUUCACUGGAAGUAAUCCAAGCUUGUUUGAAGAGUUCAAGAGAGUGAUGAUCAAAGAGUUCGAGAUGACUGACAUCGGACUAAUGGCAUAUUACCUCAGCAUUGAAGUCAAGCAAAAGGAAGAAGGCAUAUUUAUCUCCCAAGAAAGCUAUGCAAAUGAGAUUCUCAAGAAGUUCAAGAUGAAUAAUUGUAAGCCUAUAAGCACGCCAGUGGAAUGCGGAGUCAAGUUAUCAAAACAUGAUGAAGGCGAAGAUAUAGAUCCAACAUUCUUUAAAAGUUUGGUUGGAAGCCUACGUUAUUUGACAUGCACAAGACCAGAUAUCCUUUAUGCUGUUGGACUUGUGAGCCGAUACAUGGAGAAUCUAAAGACCACCCAUUUUAAAGCUGCAAAAAGAAUCCUUCGCUACAUCAAAGGUACAACUAAUUUCGGCUUGCUGUACUCAUUUUCUAAUGACUAUAAGCUUGUUGGAUAUAGCGAUAGCGAUUGGGGUGGAGAUGUAGAUGAUCGAAAGAGCACCACAUGAUUUGUGUUCUUUAUGGGAGAUACUGCUUUCACAUGGAUGUCAAAGAAGCAACCAAUUGUCACGCUAUCCACCUGUGAAGCUGAAUAUGUAGCUGCCACAUCAAGUGUUUGUCAUGCAAUUUGGCUCAGAAAUUUGCUGAAGGAGUUGAGUUUGGCACAAGAAGAGCCAACCGAGAUUUGUGUUGAUAACAAAUCAGCAAUUGCCCUAUCCAAGAAUCCAGUCUUUCAUGAUCGAAGUAAACACAUAGACACUCGCUAUCAUUUCAUAAGAGAGUGUAUUGCAAGAAAAGAAGUGCAAAUCAAGUAUGUAAAAUCACAAAAUCAAGCAACUGAUAUCUUCACUAAGCCACUCAAGCAAGAAGACUUUGUAAGAUUCAGAAGUUUGCUUGGUGUCACAGGAUCAAGUUUAAGGGGAGGUGUUGGAUCAUAAACUUGAUCCAAGAUGAAUAAAUUAAGCCCAACUCAUGGAAGGUUCCAUGAGUAGGUAUGGUUGGUGAGGUUUGAAUUAUUUGUGUUAGGUGUGGUUGGUGAAGUAGGUGAGUGGUAGGUUUUAAUGGAUGGUGAGAAUUUGUUUAUUAGUUGAAUAAAUGAAUGGUUGUGAUUAGUUUGAAGUAGGUGAGUGGUAGGUUUUAAUGCUUUGGUUUAAACAUCAAGUGAAGUAGCAAAAUCUCUAAGGUGUAGAGAGUGAAAAAUAAGAGUUGUAAUUGGUGAGGAGUGUUGUUGAAGAAAUAAAAUAGUGUGUUUUAUUUGUUAAUUCUCCAACAGAUCAUUCUUUUUGUCGGAUAUAUCUAAACAUUAAAUUAGGACAACAAUAGCACAAAUUUUAUAAAAAAUAAAAAAAUCAAAAUCAAAAAACAUUUUGUCGCCCAGAUUUGACUGCACCCAAGCUUGCCCCCUGCGCUGCCCAGCCAAAAAUCUAUGCAAUGCUUAGGCAUUUUCCUAGGCUACCUGGUAAGUCGCUCGCAUUGCCCAGCCGAUCGAUAGCCCAUGCCACGCUUGGUCAUUUGGGUAGGUUACACGGGCAAGUCACCAGCUUGGCAUGGCCAUUUUUUUUUCAAAUCCUAAUCUUUGGAAAAUUUUAAAAUCUCUUGUCCAAUACAUGUCCUAAUAUUUAACUAUCAUCAUUAAUUUAUAUAUCAAGCAAUUUACGCAACAUUCAAUCUAAAUUAAUGAAAAAAAUUGAGAAAUGGAACAAUACCUAAGUGAAAGAUAUUGAGGUUGUGGCUCGCGAUAGAUUGUUGAAAAUUAAGGCUAUAACUCAUGCAAAGCCACCUUGGGAAGUGAGGAUCUCAUCAAAAUUCAAGCUACUGCCAACAUUGGAAGUAAAAAACUCGAUGUGGGCGUAGUUGGCGAUGGGAGGUGUUGUUUGGCGACGCUGCUGGGUGACAGAAUGAGCGGGGAAUGAUUUAUUGGUUUUAAUUUAGGAAUAUUUUGGUCCAAAGUAGUUAUAAGUACUUAAUGUUAUAAGAAGAAUAUAGGUGUAAUCUUUUAUGACAUUGAAAGUUGAAAAGUGUCAAAUGGAUAAAUUUCCCUUCAAAAAUGUAUAUCUCUAAGAAAAAAAAAAGGAUAUCCAUUUUCGAUUUCAUGGGCUAGAAUUUUACUUAAAAUGUCCUUCAUAUUACUAAACUAAAUGUAAAUUAAACAAUUAAGUUAUUCUUGCAACUGCUUGAUAUAGUAAUAUCGUCUUCUUGACAUGAAAAUGCAUAAGGAAGAUUUGGUAAAGUGAAUCAAAUGCUAUAAUAAUCUUAUAGACAAUCUCCUGCUCAAGGUUCUGGUUGUUAAUCACUGAGAGCACUUGCAGGCAAUUUCUUCUUUCAAUUAGAUUAUUUAUAUAAUUGAAUUAAGAAGAUGAAUUCAUCAUACUGCAGCAAUUGAGCCAUUUGAGAAAUUUGCCAACAUACAAGAACUUGAAGACAGACCAUGAUAUGGCUCUUGGCUCGGUCCUCAGAUGCAGUAAAUUCUCUGCUCUCAUUCUAUAAUUAAGAUCCUAUUUGGCAAUUUUUUGCUGAUUAAACUUUCUAAUUUUUUGCAGGGAAUGUUUUAUACAUCAUCGCAAAAACAUGUUUUGAGAAGUUUGGUGAUAGAGUAAAAUAUUGCGCAACACUAAACGAGCUAAUAGUCUUUUACAGUGUUGGAAAAAUCUAUUUUAAAUUGUCAACGAGAGUGUAGUAAUUAUCAAAUAAAAAGAGAAUUAUUAAUUACCAAAUAGACUUCUAUACUUCUCACUUUCUCUCUCUUUUUAUUUUUUCUUUUUCCCUCAUCUUAUAAUUAUCAAAUGAAAAUAGAAUUAUUAAUUAUUAAAUAGGCUUCUAUACUCCUCUGGCUUCUCUCUUUUUUUUUUCCUCAGCUUAUUAAAUAUCUUGACGUAUAAGAUACAGUCCGUAAUACUUACGGUCAUAUAGACUAAUGUUUAAAAAGGAAGGCUUCACUUAAGAUGCAGUAAUCGAUUAUUAGCUGUAGCUUUGAAAGGGCCAAGGCCAAGAUGUACAUGUUAUAUGAUUUUUUUUUAAUAACGAAAAAAUAUUUUGUGAUGGUUGGUCGUUAAAUAAAAAUAUAAAAUUAAUUAUCUUUUAAGCACUAAAAAAAUUUAAAUACAGGCCUAGACUUACGGCAGGCCAACUCAUGUUGAUAAAGAGCAAUUAUUAGGAAAAAAAAUGAUGAUAACGAACUAAUUCCAACCCGAUCUCAAUUCCACACCAGAGCAAAUAAAAACGAGUUGGACUAUUGGCACCCCCUUCAUUAAUCUUAUAAAACCCCUAUUAUAUUAUAAUUACAUUUAAGAACAAGUAGAAGUAGAAUUAAUCUCAUUUAUAUUUUAUUUCUCUCCUCAAUUUCAUUUUACUUGCACAAUAUAAAUUUUUGUAAUCAUUAAAAUAAUCUGAAUUUAAGAAGCAAUCUAUAAUUUUUUUUAAUCAUUAAAAUAAUCUAAAUUUAAGAAGUAAUUUUUUAGGCCAAAAUAAUACCCUUGUAAUAUAUGUAGCAACAAAAUUAGGAUACAACAUUGUGAAAAAAUAAAUUAAAUAAAAUUUUAUCUUACUACAAAUAAUUUUUUAAAAUUUCUUAAAUUAAUUGUUGCACUCAAAAUUUAUAUGUACGAUAAAAUUGUAUUGGACCAUAUGUAAGAAUGCCCUUAAAGUUUGACUUCCCACCAAGCUGUGCAAAAAAAAAAAAAAGUACGUCAGUGGAAUUUAAGUGGAGUUCAUGGAUAAUGGACAUAUCGUUUUAUUUAAAAAAUUAUAAUAACAAAUUUUGGGCAUUUAUGCCACCUCUUGAGUGGUUAACCUUUUGAGAGGGUGGCUUUAAAAAUCACCGUGUAUUAGUUCUAAUGAUUUUUUUAUGAACAAAAGUCGGAAUUAAUCAUGACCAAUAAGUUCAAGACUGUUAAUUGAGAAAGAUUGUCCUUCCUUUGACAAAACACACGUGUAUGGCGGUUAAUUAUAACAACCGUACUUGCCUUUCAUCUGCUCAAAUACCUAUCCAUCGUAAAAAAAAUGUAAUCUUUUGACUGCGAAUAAACUAAAAGCGAAGCAGCGGUAGCAGCUGAGAGGGGAGAGUUAACUAGAGCUAAAGGAAUUAGUGCAAUGCAAGAAUUCAAGGCAAAUAAGUAGCUAGCUAGCUAUUGUAGCAGCAAUAUUGCUACAUUAAUUUAUGGGCUUGGGAGAAAUAAUAAUGGCAGUGGUGGGAUUAUGGGGAGUAUAUUUGCGACCAUUGCUGAUGAGAUAUGCAGGAGAAAUGGCUGAAGUUAUGGGACAUGCCAUGCAUCGAAUUGUAAGGGGCAGGCCUUCUUCUUUUGUUUCCUCUACUUAUCUUCCUUAUUCUUUUUAUUUCCUUUGAUUAAUUUCAAGGUAAUAUUAAUCAAAUAUGCAAGUUCUUUUUCUUUAAAAAUUGUUGCUUCUUAGUUUAUAUUAAUUAUUUCAAGCCAAAAUAAGAACUGACAGCAGAUAAUUAGGGAAAAAUGAGCGAACUAACAAGCAAAUAUUGUCAAAUACUUGUUUUCAAUGUAAUAACUAUUAAAAAUAAAACAAGAAACCCAAGCCCGCUGCUGCCAAAAACCCACCACCUUUCGCCACCAAUUUCAGAUUGCUGUUGAUUGAGUUCGAGUUGGUCAGUUCAGGUUAGUAUUUGAGAAUUUUAUGAAAAUUAUAUAUAUAUAUAUAAAAUAAGAACCAAUCUAUAAGAUUAGAAAGUUUUUAAAAUAGUAAAUUAAGGGCUCAUUUGAGAUUACCUUUGAGAGGCUUAAAAGUGAAUUUUAAAAAUUAAAAAUUAUUUUUGUUUGAUAAAUUUUUAAAAAAAAAUCCCUUUUGCCAAAAUCACCCCAUUCUAUGAUAGAUUUUAAAAAGUAUGAAAGAAAUAGCUUUUCAAAAUCUAAUUUUGAAAAUUAAUUCUAUACUUAAUACAUUUCCAUGUAUGCUCCUAUAUUAUUAAAAUCUAAAAUUAUCAUUAUUCAAUUAAGAAAACAUUAUUAAAUUUAAAGAGAUAAAAUAAAAAUAUAAUUACUAAAAUAAAAAAAUUAUUUUGGUUAUCAAUUAUUAUAUACACAUAAUAAAAAAUAUUAUAUACAUAUGUUUACACAAGCAUAAAUAAUUUUUUUUCAAUAUUUCAGUCAUUUGUAUUAUUAUAACAGUUCAACAAUAAGAUUUAUUGAACAUAUAUGAUUGUUUUUAAAAUGUAUUGCACUUUUAAAAUUAAAUUUUAUUAAACACUUAACUAAUUUUCUUUAUAACUAAUUAUGUUUACAUGACAACUAAUAUCAAUUGUUUUAAAAGUUAUAGCAUUAUCAAACUAGCCCUAAUUAUGGUAAAUUAGACUGUCCUUAGUCCUAAAAUACGAGAAUAGAGAUUUUACGUCCUAUAGAUUGAAAGAUCUUCAAUUAAAAGGACAGAACUGCCCAAGCAAGAUUUAAAUGACGAAAAUAAUGAUUGAUGAAAACAAUGACUCAAAAAAAUAUACUUACAAAACACUAAAAAUGGAUAAAUAUUUCCCGCAAAAAACCCGAACAAAGUAUGGACAAAACCAAUAGGAAAAAAAACGGAUAAAGACACUUUUAAAAAAGUCUGAUAAAGUAAGGACAAUACUUUCACAAAAAAAAAAAAAAGCCAGACAACUAUUUUAUAUAUUAUUAAGAUCAGCGAGGAGAAGAAAAAUAUUUUAUAGCUAAUUUUUUUUUUGGGGGUUAUAUUUCAUAAAGAUGAACAAAUUAAUUUUUUUUAGCAGUUGAAUCAUAUUCAUGAGUUAAGUUAAUUUGACUGAGCUACAAGGUGAUUGGUAAACUUAAUAACAUAUGUUAAAUAUUUGUUGGGUUCAACUGAUGUAGUUGGCCUAAAGCCCACAUAAAUUGUAAUUCAAAAAACUUGAGUGGGUUAGAUGAAAUUUUCCAUUAAAAAUAGGUUUUGGAAACAUGGCCAUAUAAAGAAGAUUAAGUGGAACCGGCAGUAAUUGAAAAAAGGAGGAAAAAUGAGAGAGAAGUCAGUGGCGAUAUUAAAACUUGGGGGUAAGGGUUUUCAAUCUUUGAUUGCAUGAUUGAAUGUAAAAUUAAUUAUAUUUUCUCCUAAAUUUAGAGGGUAAGAUAUAAAAUUAAUUAUGUUUUUUUCUUAAAUUUAGAGGAUAAGUUCCUGACAUCGCUCUCUACAAUUCUACUAGUCUUGAUUUUUGUUUUAUUCUCUCAUCAGUUAUUAUUUGAGAUACUCACUUAUUAGAGAAACAUAUAUUAGACUGUUAUUAUAAGCAAAGAUUAUUAAGAUUAUUAUAAGCAAAGAUUAUUAAGAUUCUUGAUUUUAUUAGUCGCUAGUGUUAUCUAGAGAAGAAUUUGUGUUGUAAUCUCAUUAAUAUAGAGGAAGAUUAUACUAAACUAUAGUCCUGUGGUUUUUUCCAUUUUGAGUUUUUCAUGUAAAAAUUUGUAUCUCUUGUGGUUGGUUUAUUGCUUUGGAUUAUGUUAAAUUAUUUUCUGCCUAUUUAUUUGUAGAACAAAUCUUGUUUUAAUCAUACAAAAAGAGAAAGAAUUUUGUUUCCACUUAAUUUACAGAUGCGUGUGUGCGUUCCUUUCCCAACAAUAUCAAAGUGCUCGGAUAUUAUGGUCAUUCAAUGCAUUUAACUCCUUUUUAUGUACAAAAUAAACUCAGUUUAAUUAGUCAUAACUUUGAUAUCAAAACUUGAAAAAUGUAACCAUUAUUCUUUAGUAGACAUCCAGUCAUGUGUGAAUCCUAAACUACAAAUUUACUGUUUCCACGGAUAUAUAUUAAAUGUUAAGUAAUAUAAAAGAUAAUGCGUAUAACUCGCUCAUAAGUCAUUUCUCAAAAUAAAUAAAUCAGCUAUUGAAAGUUGAGACAUAACGAAAAUAAAGGAGAAAAGAAUAGAAAAGUAAUAAUUGAUUAUUAAUCACGUUGAAUAAUAAAAUGUAAAUUCUAUUGUCGAAACGUACAUGCAAAUAGAUAAAUUAACGAUUGCAAGCUUCAGAAUUCUGAAUUCUUAUUGAACUAUAACGACUUAUUACAUCGACAUAAUUCAGACCCCUCUUUUAUUUCAGUAAAUUAAUCAUUUCGCGUUUUAUGUUUGAAACCCAUUAAAACCCCUUGUAUUUGAAAAGAAGAAUUAACAUUCAGCCUUUCAAAUCUUUUACAAUUUCACUCCCAUUGUCUAAGACCUACCAUGAUCAAUAAAGGUUUUUAGGAGUAAAAUAGUUUUAAAAAAAAAACUCAAAAAAGCUGAAAGUUAACAUAAAUUUUUUAACAGCAAGGGGUUUAAUGGACUCUGAAACACGAGGACAAAUGAUUAAUUUUGACAAAUUGCAAGGGUAUUCUGUGUUAUUUAAAAGAAUUCAAAGUAGGAUAUUAAUUGAACAAAAAUAAACAAACAAAUAAAAGAAUAAAGUUAAAUACUAUCAUCAGAAUUUAAGAAAUCACUGCAAAUCAUCAGCUAGAAGUGCUGAAAGUGAGGGUUAGAUCAGCAUCGGAGUUGAGUUUUGGCGCCGCCAGUGCCUCUGCUCUUUGUAAUCAAUCUCCAUUAAGCUUCUAAUGAUUAUAUCUGAAGCAUUUGUCACAAUAUCUGACCAGUUCCUACAAACCAUACAUUAAAAAGAAAUAUGCAUCAAUGCACACCUAAAACCCUAACCCUAAUUUUCUUAGGUAAAUUGAAAAGUUAUACAAUUCAUAUAUUUAUAUUAAUUUAAUAAAAUCAAAUAUUAACAUACCCCUUUAAAGAGUCAAACGUGAGCCCUACGGUGAACUUAGCCUCUUCAAGUGCCCAGCUAAACCUCCUAAGCUCAUUUGCAGAGCAUUUUCCGUCAUCGAUAACGAGAAGUUGUGAGGGUUUAAUGUCACAAAAUAUUGGAAUCACCUUCUUUUUGGUCUCCAUCAUGAGAGCAAGUUCAUGAAGGCAAAAAUAUGAUUGGCAAUAAGUUGGUGAAAAAACUGCAACACCAACCUUACAAUUUCUUAUGGCUCUGUUGAUGUUGUCGAAUAAUUUGUCCCCCGGCUUCAUGUUUUUGUUAUCCAAGAAGGGACGUAGAUUAAGCCGAGAAAGAUGAUCAUAAAGCAAUGUGGCCACCUUUCUCUUUGUGUCAAUUCCUCUGUGGUUGAUGAACACAUCACAUGGCUUUAUUGCUUGGUUUCGCAAUCGAUUUUGACGAAAAACUUGGCGUUGCAAGUUCAUGGCUGCUGAACGAUAUUGCAUGAUGUUCUUUUAAUAAUAAGCUUUUUGUGUUUUUGUUUUUCCCUUUGGUUUCUUGUUUUUGAAGAUUUGUGUGAAGAUUAAAAACACAUGUGUGUCUAUAUAUAUAUAAGGUUUGAGUAUUUUUAUUUUUUUGUUUUUUUUAAUUAAUGGAACUUAUGUGGUGUGUUUCUAGGGUUGAUUUUGAACGAGGAAUGUAUAUAAGAGAAUAUUGAACAUCAAAUAUUAACCGUGUGGUUUGAUUUGACAGAAGCGAUGAAGAAGAAAUAAUCUUGACACUUGAAACACGCUCUUUUGACUCUCAUAAACAAACAAACUAAUACUUCCAAAAAAAAAAAAAACUAAUAUUAUUUUAUAACAUGUGCCAUGGACCUCUUUCGACGACAAGAAGUCAAUUUUUCAACCCUAGUGUCGAUGGGAUGGGCUGCCACUAAUGAGAAAUAUACUGUUAAUAAAACGACUUGCCUACUCUAUGUCUGAUUUCUAAGCAUACUGUAUACAUGCAUGUGUAUGUGUAGUUUCAAAAAACAAAUUCUGAAUUUUGAAUAGUUAUAACUCAUAUUCAAGACUUAUCAAUAUGGAAAUGGUAUUUUCAUUUCCCAUAGAAUUUACUUUUACCACUUGGAUCGUUGAUAAAUUUUUAAUAAUUUAUUUCAUCCAUAUGUUAAAAUACGAGUAUAGCAAGAGAGAGAGAGAAUUGCCAGUUUCCUCCUAUUCAAAUCGUUAUCUAUCACUGGCACUCAUAUUGUUUUCAUAAUACUAGUAAAUAACCCCCUAACACCCAAAAUUUCACAAAAAAAUAGGGGUCUUUUUUUCCUUUUACAAUAAUAAACUUGCAACAAUAUUCUUGAAGAUAUUAAUAAAAGGAAAAAAUAAUAAUUUUCUAAUAAAUACUAUUGAUUAAUUUGCUCAUAAAUAAGUAUUGGUUAAUUUUCUAAUUGUAUAGCCUUUUAUAGGUAAAUUAAUUAAUGUCAAAAAUAUUGUUGGAACAUUAUUACUGUAAAAGAAAAGAGAAAGAAAUGUAGGAAUGUAAAAGUUUUAAUUGCAGUGGUGUUAUUGAUGUAUUUUUUAAAAUUUAGGGACCAAAUGGGUAUUUAAGUCAAAAUAUAGGGAUUAAACGAGCAUUUAUCCUAAAAAUUAAAUAUGCAUUCAUAUUGAAAUUUUUUAUUACUUUUAUUUUAAUAUCAUUUCAGUUUAUAAAUAUUAUAAAAGACUGGAAUAAAUAUAAAAUAAAGAAUAAGAAAGAUAUUUUUUAAAUAAAAAUAAGAAUAAGAAUUUUUUUAUUUUUACUAUUUAAUCUUUUUAUUUUUAUUUUUAUUGAUUUCAUCUGUAAUAAAUAUAAAUAAAACUAUUUAAUUAAUUUGAUCUAUAAUAAAUAUGAAAAAAAAUUAUGUUUGAAAAUAAGGAUAAUAUUAUAAAAUUAUGAUGUCACGGGAUAUUGAAUAUUAUGAAGAUAUUAAGUGAUUAAUUCACAUACAAAUUAAUUAUCCAUAAUCUCUAUAAAUUUAAAACUAGUUACUUUAUUUAUUAAAAGAACAUGAUUACAAUGUACUUUUUUAGUCACUAUUUUGAUCCCAGAGAUAAAAGAGAAUAAAGAUGUAUAAUAGACCUGAGUAGUAAAUUCGAUUUCUCGGAGGACUAAGUGUCAUUCUCCUUAUCAAUAUGCUUCGUGUAACAAGCAAACAUACCCUUUGUCAUUUCAGUUUUUUCCGCCUUCGAUCAUACGACUCAACCAACCAACUUAACAUUAUGUAUAAUACAAAUUGUAAAGGUAGUCAAAAGAAUGCUAUAUACAUAUAAGUGCCUGUUUUGAAAUACGGUAUAACCCUAGUAACAAGGUAGUAAUUAAGAUAUCUUUAGUAUGCAUAGUACGUUAGUCCUGUUUGAAAUGGUCGUCUUCAUGACUAUUCAAGAACUUCAAGUACAAUUGUUUAGAAUAUUAGUCACAUUUUUUAAAGAAAUUAUUUAAUUAUUUAGUGAAACCAAUUAAGACUCCUUUUGAAAUAACUUUUUAGUAGAGCUUUUAAUUUAAAUAAUUCCCCGUAAAUCGAUUUUACUAGUAGAUUUUUUGUUUGUUUGAUUUUCAAUGAGAGUUUUCAUUAAAAAAUACAAUAUUAUUUUAAUAAAUAAUUUCUUUUAAAGUUACGUAAUGAAAUCACUACUAGAAAGAUGAUCUUUACUAACACUUUGUAAAAAAAUUCAGUAAUUAUGUAUAUAUGCACCAUUUUCCACUUUUGACAAAUAUGUAUCAGAUGUUAUUGAUACUAGUGUGUCAGUAAAUUAAACAUCAAAGAUCAUUGAUACUAAAGUAUCAAAGAUAAAAAAACAAAUCAUUAAAACUUGUUUUACUUCCAAUUCAAACCAAAGAUCUCUAAGGUUUAAAACUUUAACAUUUAGAGCACUAACCAUCGAACCCUGUAGAAUCAUGCCCAGAACAGUGUUUUAAAAUAUUUACUAACAAAAAUUAUAAAUAGCUACAGCACAAAAUCUACACUUAAGCAAUUUUCCCCAUCUGGCUAUCAUUCCUAAACUCUAUCGCUAUCUUGCCUUUAUCUUCCUCUUUCUCUUUCGUUUUCCUUUUCUCAAUCUCUUCUAUUUUCUAUUGUCUAUUUACAAAUUAAGUUCAAUUAAUCCAAAUAGAUAAUGAAAAGUUAAAACUUUGUUUCCUUUUUUUCCAUUUUCCUAAAUUGAAAAAUGAAUUAACAAAAACCCUGAUUGCUUGUUAUAGAAGGGGCUUUUUCUCCAACUACACAUCUAAUGCCUCUACUGGGCCAUCAAAUAAAAACCAUCAACAAGGGAUGAAGUGGCUACCAUAAAUUGCAUAUUCAAGUAAUCUCGUUCUCCCUCACAAGCUAAGUUUGGAGAAAGAACUAAGGGGGUUGUCAGCUGAUAAUGACUUAAUAUUUUAUUUUUUGUCAAUUUAAUUAAUGGAUUUAUUUUAAUUUAGCUUAUGAUUAAUUUUUUUAAUUUAAUUUUUGGGUUAUUUCAGAUGUUGAGAAAUUCUACCAAUAGUGUGAUGUUGGUGGGUUUUGUCUUCCAUAUCUUUUUUAUUUUAUUUAAUUGUAAUAUGAAUUUGUUUUUUUUUCUUAUUUUUCCAUAUUGUCAUUCACCGGUAGUCCAAAGUACAAGCAUUUCUCUCUCUCUCUCUCUCUCUCUCUCAGUGACAGACCUAGCUCAUUGGCGUUGGCUUGCCGUUGAGUCACCGUCGUCUCUCUUUAAUACACCGGAGUUGAAACCCAAACUCUUGUCGUGAGAUAAUACCCAAACCCUAGCUGCUUGAAAUUAAAAUAUCCACUCUAACUCAUUGUCGUGCCAAACAAACCCUACCCACGCUAUAAUUCGCCAUUUCACACACUGAAGAAAACACUUUCUAUUGUUCAAAGAUCAUAGUUGAUGAAACCAAGUGAGUCACUAUUUUGGGCGACAAUAUAUUUGGGAUUAGAUUUAAUGGGCAAUGAUUGUCUGCCAAGAGAGGUAGUUCAUCUAUUAUAUAUGGUGCUUGAAUCGCGCUUGAUUCGCCCUAAGAAGUUGAUGUGGUGAGAGACUUGUUACUUUUGAAUUUUGCUGGAUUCCUAUAAUAAGGAAAAAAAAUAAAGAGAAUCUGAUUACAGUUUUUCAAGUUAGUUUUCAAUGCUAGAAAUUUUGAGUUGUGUAUAUAUAGUGAAAUAGUCAUUGAAAUUUGGUUCUUAGUUUGAAUCACGGGCUUAAACAUAGCAUUACAUGUUUAAAAAAUACCCUCAAAUAUCAUGAUCAAUGUUUGCAUCAUUCUGUUUGUAAAGAUUAUCCCCAAGUCCUUGCUAACAGAAACCAUUAUGCCUAUAUAAUUCUCUUAUGCUUUUCAUGUUUUGUUUUAAUGACUCUAACAUCUUUAAUUUCUCUAAUUCCAAGUUUAUGAUGCUUACAGAAUAAAGCCAAAUUUGUUAUUGUUGCUCCCGUAAGUUCAUUUCUUCAUGACCUACCAUGCCUUUUUACCCCUGUUUUUGAUUGGAAGAAUUGAAUUAAUAUAUAUUUGAACUGGUUUAGUAAAAAUCUGAUCUUAACCUUGUUACAAAAUGACGAACUGAUUUGUCUUAUUACCUAUAGUUAAGCAGUGUUCACAAGUUAAAAGCAGGCCGCUAAUGAUUUUCUUAUCCAUUCAUUAUUCAUUUAUAAGAUAUGCUUGUUGCUGGUGAAGGAAGGCCAUAUGCUAGUUGCUGCAAAAUGGAGUUUGUAGGUGAAUGUUUAGACUAAAAUAUAUAAGUGCUUGACAGUGUUUUGAUUUUCAAAUUUUAUAGGUACAUGAAUUGAAUUGCUAUUUUGAUUUGUGUGAUGCAAAAUCUGUUAUCUUUUUUCCUCUACAUGUGAAGAGUAGGUAGAUUGGUAGUUGUUUCAUGCAUGGGUUAUUUAAGUCUCUUGAAGAUGUUUUGUGUAAUGUGAAGCAAAUGAGCACUUGGUUAUGUUCAUAUGUUAGACACUAACAAUAUGGCUUACAAAUGAGUGACAAUUAGUAACUGACUUAGCAGUGAGAUGACUUGUAAUGUGUACAUGUUAUAUAGGACAUGAGUGAUAAUUAGACCAAUCUUCUAUCUUUAUCUUUAUUCCUCUUCUUUUUGUUUUGUUCUUGAAUGUAGGUAAUAACAUGCAUGUUGCCAUAUUGUUCACUGUCUUUGAAUUUUUUAUGCCCUCCAAGUGUUUGAUAAAAAGCCUGAAUGAAUCUUGGCACUUCAUUUCUAGCAACCCAUUUCUACCUAUGAGGAGCUAAGGAAUAUGGAGUUAAAGAGCUUGAGGAAAGACUUAUGGUUUCUACUUGAAUCUAUAUCUAUAAAUAUAUAUAUAUAUAUAUAUAUAUAUAUAUGAGGAGUUGUAUAGUAGGCAUAGGGAUUGACGCUUUGUAUCUACAUCCAUAUUUGCAUUAAAGUGGUUAGUGUUAGUGUUCACAAGUUGCUUCGGCUUCAAGAUUAUUAUAUAAGUUGAGUAAACAAUAGUAAUUCAUAUAAUAAUGUAGAUCAACACUCGUUGAAAUAUAUAUAUUUUUUAAUUAGCGUGGUCUUCAAGAUAUUGAGUGUCUUCUUGUAUAAUUUUGGAUAAAAGAGUAACAUUGUUGGAGCUCAUUUAAAGUGCAUAAAGUGUUUUGAAUUGUUAUCACAUGGAUAUAUUAAAUGAAUGAUAGUUAAGUAGUUUACAAUUUGAUUUUUGGUAAAUAACUAGCUGUUUUAAAAUUAAAGUUCAAGGAAAUUAAUGAAUACACAAUGAAAGAGCUCUCACAACUUCGUGAUUAACGGGCCAUGUAUGUUGUCAAGUUAAUUAUAGCCUGUAAUCAUGAGGUAAUGUAUGACUAAUUUAUGAUUAUUUUUGCUUUUAAAUUCCAAGACUUAUUUUUUUGUGGUGUACUAAUUGAUUUAAUGUACUUGUAGGUGGGAAAAAAAAUGAAGCCACGUGCGGAUAUUCAAUGACAUUAUUGAGCAUAUUCUUGUUGGUUAAUGUUUUUGAAACUUCAUUUUGUACUUUGUUAUUUAAAACUUGUCCAAAACUUAAUUUGGUACUUUUUUUCUUUACCAAACAGUGGUGUAGUUGAAUUAUAUUAAUUUAAAUUAUGUAUUUGCAAUGUUUAUUAUGUGAAUUGUGUUGCAAGAUUCGGUAUAUUUAAUAUAUUUCUAGUUUUUUAAUUGCAAACAAACAGAAAAAAUAUAAUUAAAAUAAAAAUAUACUAUUAACUAAAUGCAGCAUAACAUCACUAAAUAUUGACACAUAAAUUGCUGACAUGUAAAUGGUAUUAUUAAAUAUUAAAAUGUUUUUUUUAUUAUUUUGGUAAUAUUGUAGUAAUACAAAUUACUGACAUAUAAAUAAUAUUAUUAAAUAUUAACACCAUGGUAUCAUUAUUUUAGUGAUACUAUAGUGAUAGGAAUUACUGACACAAAAAUCCAUGACACUAAAAAUUAGUGUUAAUGUGUUCUGGCUUGGGCAUUACUGACACAAUUAACAAGUGUCAGUAAAAAUAAUUACUGACAUUAAAUUGGUGUUAAUAAAACUCAUUUUUCUAGUAGUGAAUGAAUGAAAUUAGAUCAUUCGAGAAAAUAAAGGCAUUAUAGAUGAUUCAACUCUUUAAAAAAAAAAAUCUAUCAAUCUCUAUAUUCAAAUGCCUAAUAUUUAAGCGUCUACUUAAAUUACAACUAGAUGACACCAAAAAAAAAUUAAAAAGAUAUUUUGAUAUUAAAAAAUUAUUUUGACUAAUGGAGAAAUCAUAACAAACAUGCACUAACAAGAACUAAGAUUGCAAGAUGGCAGAAAAUUUAAGGUGUUAGAAGGUACCAUUUCUCUCUCUCUCUCUCUCCCUCCCUCCCUCCAAUCCCCCAUGAAAACAAAGUAACAAUCUCCUUUUCAUGCCGUCGGAAGAGAACUCUCUAGAGUUCUCCUUCCGAUGGCAAUGUACUUUAGUAUAUUCUAUUUUUAUUUUUUGUCUUUUUGUUUCCUUCCAGUUCAUGUGUGAAGGUAGAUUUCCUUCCACUCCAUAGGUAAAGGUAGCUCCUUCUAUGGUUGUAGAUCCAUGACUUUUGCUCCAUUUAAACACUGAUUCGUGGUGUUUUUAGUUUCUUUCAUCGCUAUUUACUAUCAAAAUGUGUUUUUCCAGUAGAUUUGAAGUUUUUUUUAGCUCCAGAUCUGAGAAAAAUACAAUGUGUAGAUUAGUUCUUACAUGAGAUCUGUUACUACAUCAGUUGGUGAUCAAAUUAAUAGAAAUGGAGAUUCUGAAAAGAGCUGAGGAAUAUUCCUGGUUGUGCUUUGAAAUGAUAUUCCUGGUUAUUCUUUGAAAUGAUGUGUACAUCUAUAGUAGAUGUCUUUUGCUGAUAUUCCAAUGCACUGCUUUCCCUCCUNNNNNNNNNNNNNNNNNNNNNNNNNNNNNNNNNNNNNNNNNNNNNNNNNNNNNNNNNNNNNNNNNNNNNNNNNNNNNNNNNNNNNNNNNNNNNNNNNNNNNNNNNNNNNNNNNNNNNNNNNNNNNNNNNNNNNNNNNNNNNNNNNNNNNNNNNNNNNNNNNNNNNNNNNNNNNNNNNNNNNNNNNNNNNNNNNNNNNNNNNNNNNNNNNNNNNNNNNNNNNNNNNNNNNNNNNNNNNNNNNNNNNNNNNNNNNNNNNNNNNNNNNNNNNNNNNNNNNNNNNNNNNNNNNNNNNNNNNNNNNNNNNNNNNNNNNNNNNNNNNNNNNNNNNNNNNNNNNNNNNNNNNNNNNNNNNNNNNNNNNNNNNNNNNNNNCCCCCCCCGCCCCACCAUUCAAUGGCUCAACCAAUCUGUUUAUUGUAAUUGAUGGAACUAUAUGCACAUAACUAUAUGUACACCGACCUAAUUUAUAAAUGAUUAUGAUGUAAUCUUAUCUUUUCAAUAGAAAUAUUUGAUGAAUUCAUCUUUGUUGAACGAAUGAAAAAACUACUUUCCUAUAAAAAUAAUAAUUAUAAUAAAAUUACAAUAAUGAUAAUGAUAACACAAAGGCAAGAACUCAGACCUAACCACUGGUGAUACACUGACACUUUCCUUACAAUGAACUAUUGACAAUUGGACCUAGACUAGCCCAAUCGUAAUGAUACAUAAGCGCAGUCGCCCUGACAACCAAGUCCAAAUGGUCGGCAUUCUUUAUAAGUGAAAAAUAAAAUUGGCAUCAUAUGCAUCCAAAACAAGUGAAUUUAUUAAGAUUUAUGUUGUACAUGAAUUAAAUUAUAAUGUAUUUAAGGGUGUGUUUGGCACAAUAUAUUAUAUUAUUUAAUGAGAGUCUAUUGUAUUAAUAUUGUAUUAUGUUUUGUAUUAUAUUAUGUAAAAUAUUAUAUUAUUUUAUAAAAUUAAUAUUAUAUAUUAGUAUUAGUAUUAGUAUUUUAGCAAAGAUUAAUAAAAUAAUAAAUUGUAAGUCAUCAUGCUAUGCUGCAUAUACUCGGAGAGGGUUGUCAUUAUCUAAUGAGGUGAAACCUGCAUUAAUCCAAAUUUUAAUGCAAUGUAAUCUCCUUCUUUUUCUUUUUAUACAAACAUGGGACAUAAUAAAGUUAAUAUGAACAGUAUUAUAAUACUUAUUAUUGUCCUGUUCCAAAUGUACCCUAAUUUUUUUUGCUGAUCUCGGUUGAAUAAUCUUUUGCCAGGAUGUUAAUAGUAUUGGUUGCAACUUCAUAAUCAAUGGACAAAUUAGGAAAAACUUGUGAAGAGAUCAAUGGACCCAACAAUAUACAUCCUGGGUCAGAUGGGAGUUUUGUAAUCAUCAUUAUAGACAAAAUGUCACAGCAUAUCCAGCUAAUGAAACCUAUUAUUACUUUUUCUUUUUUAAUGAUCCCAGGCUUCUUAUCCUAGCCACCCAAUCGACGGUACGCAAAUCCAUGCCGACACAUUCUCUUUUCUUUGCUUAAUUUCCUUGGUUUUUUCUGAUUUCACGAGUAAUCAAACCGAUUAAUCCUCCAACUAAUUUCAAACUUGAUUGAUACAAUAUAUGAUUUCUAAACAAUUAGUCAUAAUCCAGCGUAUAUAUAAGGCUUGGAAAUUCAGUUAUUUGAUGCUAGAUUGCUCACAAUUACGUAUAAUUAAGUCUUCGUUUUACAAAUGUAGUAAUGAUCAUGCAAGAAAAAUGCCUACAUGCAAUGGACACACCACGAUCUAUCAUACAUAUUUUGACAUGUAUAGAAUUAUUUUGAAAUUGACGAACAUUCUGAAAGAGAAAAUAUUUUAAAAUACAUCACAUACAUUUAUUAGAUGAUUCCAUUAAAACCGUCAUAUAUACAUUUUUUCAUAAGGGAAAUGAGCAAUGAGCUGGAGAAUUCUCUUUUCAGAAAAUUCUCUUCAUAAGCUUGUGACUCAACAAAAAGGCAGCAAAAUUUGUGAAGUGCCUGAAAACUGAAGCUAAAUACAGAACCACUUUUCAUGAUUUGGAGGUAAGCAAUAAUUUUACAGCCGGUGGAUGGAAGAUAUUUACACAUAGCAGUUAAUAAUGGCUUGUUGGGUCUCAUGAACAGCUUUACACAACCACCUACGAUAAUUGAAAUCCAAUCAUUGCCUUAUCUUGAGUGGAAACUGUGGUUCGAUUGAAACUAACAAGUACAUUAUGAAUUAAUUAGAAGUAAAUUAUAAGGAAAAUCAUUAUGGCCCUCACAAAUUGAGUUGAAUGCACUAUAGCCUUGUAUGUUGAAAGAAAGCUAUUUUUGAACCAACAAUUAAACUUGAGGCCAUGUCUUAUAAUAAUUAUUGAUACCCUAUUAUUACCACUUUAUGUGUAAUAUUAAAACUAAUUACGAAAAUCAGAAGCAUAGAUAUUACCCAAUGUGGAAUGAGAUUUAGUGAUUAUAUCAUCAUCAGAAGAUCAAUGUCUUUGUUAUACAUAUAAUAGCUGGCUUCAAUCAAAUGAUGAAAACAAAAAAAACAAAAUAUCGCAUGCACAUAAAAGUUUCAUGUACCUUAACAAAUAAUGCAUGUAAUUAAUUUAGAAGCCGAAAAGAUAGUUUUGACAUGAAUUUAAAAGAAUUUUAAUUAUUGAUUAAUUUCGCAUAUUUUGAUAUAGGGAAAUAUUUGAUUACACAUGUAAAUGGUAUUGUAUUGUGUUAGCAUACUUAUGUGAUUUUAGAAAGAUCCUAUUAAGGUUGUGUUUGUUUUUUGUUUUUUGUUAGCAUACUUACUGUCAAAAUUUAUAUUGAUUUUAUUAUACACUUAUAUGAUAAAAAUCUAUAAUAAUCAUAUUAUUUUGGUCAAGAUUAUUAUUUAAAAUUUAUAUUUAUCAUACACUUUAAAUAUUUAUUUCAUAACGAUAAUUUCUUUUUUCUGCAACAACUACGACUUCACCUCAAUAUUAAAUAAACAAGACCUAAAUCUCUCGUGUUAAUUUACCAUUAAACCUCUAUUUCAAACCCAAAGGUAGGAUUGUUAAUGUGGGCGAGGAAGAUCAUUUUUCUUUUUCUUUUCCCCCUUAAAAUUAUUACAUUCUAUAGAAAGUAAAUUUUUAAGAGUGAGGAAGAUCUGGGAAUUUGACUUUGAUAGAGUUGAAAAUCUAAAGCUUUUUCUUGUAGUUACCAACAUCAGAAACCAAGAUUAUUCUUUGCCUACUUCCUCACUCAACUCAACCAUAACUCCAAUCAAUAAAUAAAGGUAUAGAGUGCAUGUGACAUAAAGUUAUUUUCAACUUACUCAUUUAAUUAAUAGAAAGUAAAUUAGUUAAUAUUAAUUUUAUGUUGUUUCUAUAGUUGUCUUUCUCCCCGACUAUUUUUCUGUACCGUCUUAAAACACAAGCUUGCAAGAAGCAGCUGCAAGGAAGUGACCACUCAGCGAACAACAUUACAACUGUAACAUUAACAGUCACGUUAAGCAGAAUAUCAAUAUCAGAGUGACCUUAGAUUCAUUCAUUCACAAUCUCGGGGACCCCACAUGCAAAAAUAUCAUCAAAAUCGCCCAUCUGAUCCGCAAACUCAAACUCCCAUGUGCUCAGCUUCAUCACCCACCUGCCGCCUGCAGCAACUGCCACUUACAUUCUCUCUCUGUCUCCGUGUCGUGUAAAAAAGUUGACACAAGAACCAAGAACCAGUACAUGCAUAACACCUGAAGCUCUGAAGAAACUUGUGAGCAAUUUUCUUGAGAACUGCACCAGGUAAAAAAGCUCUCCAUGGACUCGAGAACUCGUCUUGACUAUGCUCUCUUUCAACUCACUCCCACCAGAACCAGGUACUGUUACUUGUAGAAAAUUGUUUGUGUUUUUUUUUAGUAUUCUUGAUGUGUCGGUUCUGCUUGUUUGUUAUAAAUGUUGAAUGCUUUGUGAAAUGGUGAAGGUGUGAUCUGGUGAUAUUUGCUGGGGAUUCGAGUGAGAAAUUGGCGUCUGGACUUUUGGAACCGUUUGUUUUGCAUUUAAAAUCUGCUAAAGAUCAGAUUUCUAAAGGUGGGUAUUCCAUUACUCUUCGUCCAGUGAGCUCAUCAGCUGCCUCUUGGUUCACUAAAGCCACUCUGCAAAGGUAUAAUUCACUCGAAUCAUACUCUCUGCUAAUUGGGUUAUGGCUUAGAUUAGUUCUUGCAUUUGAGUUUCUGCGGAAAAGGAAGAUUUUUAGAAGUUACUUGGUUGUAUGUUCUUCCGAGGAUUCGAACUGGGUAGCCAGCAUAAGAAAGUUGUUUUGAAACCAUUCGGUAUAGUCCUUUGCUCCAAUUUUGCUUUGAAGUUAAUCGGACAUUUGAAUCGUUUAGAUUUUUCUUUUUUGAGGGAUUUAUUGGGUUUAUGUUGUGCCUUUUUAUGAAUUUGACCAAUUACUUAGAAAUUAAAACUUUUGCAAUGUCAUAAACUCUAGCAUUUUCAAGAAAUUUGGUUUAAAUAGGAUCCUUGAGUUGCCGGUGUGUUCAUUAUCUCAAAGCAUUGAUGAUAUCUUCCUGUACUUAUAAAGUAAGAAAGAUCUUUGAUGGUGUCUGGAUUUUACCACUGUGAGAUUGAUAUUUUACAAUUUCCGGGUCAUUAUCCUUUUUACUAACAAUUAUGUCGUUUAAAUAGAUUUGUGAGAUUUGUUAGCACACCAGAAGUUCUUGAGAGAUUUGUCUCAGUAGAGAGGGAAAUAGUACAGAUUGACAAUGAACUAUCGAGUGCUGCAGCAACAGAGGAUGAAGGUAUGACGUGCUUGUUUGGUAUGACUUAUCGACUAGCCAUAAGUGCUUAUUUUAAUCCCAAAAGUUGUUUUCAAAGUGUUUUUUUGUUGUUUGGUUUGAUUUUAGUAGAGCUUGAGGUUUUAGAAUUACAGAGAUGUGAAGAUUUUAAAUUAAAGUUUUCCCCCAUAUUAUGCAGUCAGGAUUAAAUUUCCUUCUCCUGCAACUAUAGAUUGCUGCUGUGUACAAAUAAUUCUUUAUGCUAACUUAUUUUUAAUGUGAAAUGUAUCAGCAACUGCUGGGAAUUUCCAGAAGUCAAUUGCAUCAUAUAAGGUAAUUCAUCGUUGUAAAAUACAGUUUUCUUUUUAUUGUUUUCUCAAAAGCUCCCACCAUAACUUUUGGCCCUUGUCAUGCUGAUGCUGCAUUUUAGACGAAAGGUGAAUACAGUGGAGCUAGCGACGCAAUGCAGGAAGAAAAUUCCAAGUAAAUUAUCUUGCUUUGCAUUUGGCCAUAUCUGGUGACAAUAUGUUCUUUAUUUCUACAUUUGUAUUAUCAUGCAUUGAUUGUUCAGCCUGGGAUGAUGAACAGGAUUCGUCUUCAGCGUGUUUUGGAAUCUAGGAAGGCAAUGCUUUGCAAAGAGCAAGCAAUGGCUUAUGCUCGUGCUUUAGUUGCUGGAUUUGAACCAGACUAUAUAGAGGAUCUUUUAUACUUUGCUGAUGCUUUUGGGGCUUCACGUUUAAGGUAUGAUAAAAGCUACCUUAAUUUCUUGAUUGGUGAACACAACUUGGUUUAUUUUUAAAUUUCAAUUUCAAAUUGGUGGUUACACUAGCUAUUAUCUUAAAAUGAAUGUAAAAUGAGUUUACUACAGUUUAGAUUAGUCCACAAAAAUAGUUGCAGAGUGUCACAUCGUUCAAGAUUAUUAUCUUUUCCUCUGUUUGCAACUGUAGUCUGUUCUGUUUUGUCUAGGGAAGCAUGCAUAAGUUUCAUAGAGUUGUGCAAGAAAAAGAAUGAAGAUGCUCUUUGGAUGGACGAAAUAGCUGCAAUGCAGGCUUCAUCUCGGCAAGUAUUGCCUUAUCUUGCAACAUCUGGAAUCAUACUUGCGGGUGAAGAUAAUGAUCCUAGUGGGAAACAGAAUGGAUCAAUGGAUGCAUCUGAUACAAGUCAUGGAAGCUUAGACAUGAAACAUGGUAUGGAAGGGUAUUUUAUUUCCUUUUUACCUCAAAAUGAUCUUUCUAUUUGGAACGAUGGUGCCAAAGAAACUAAAAUUGAUGUAGGUGACCUGUCAGCUGUUUCAGAUUAUGUUGGUCAAAACAGAUUCUGCAAUGAACAUGUUUAUACUGGUCUAGGCAUCCCAAAUCAUGCGCUCAAAUGUUCAAUUUUCAAAACACCCUUUAGUUUUCUCUGAUUAAGUCGCAAUAUAUUUGUCAAGAGCAUGAACUAGAAUCAUGUUUAAGAGUUUUAAGAAAUAGGAGACUUUGGACCAAGCACUCAAAACUCUUAAUUUGUACAAGACUGAGAACUUCCAUGUUCAGUGUCUACUUUUUAACCAUGGCAUGUUAUUUCAAAACAUCCUUUAUUUAUGGAUAAUAAAUAUUUCUUCUUAAUCAGAAUAUUAAAUGACAUUCUUUCUUUGGUUAUAGUUUUUGAGGAUUUCCCCUUUUAUCCCAAUGCAUGAUGACACAGAAAGUAAUUAGACAGCCAUUUGAUGAAAAUUUUGUGCAGAUGCGCAGAUGCCAACAGAUGGCAAAGCUCAAGUACCAAUGUCAUGGCCAAACCAUCUUCCUCAGUACAUGUACAAUUUUCAAGGUCCUGCCAUGCAUCAAAUGCCCCCAUAUCAAGGUUAUCAGUUUCCUGGUAUGCCGAUUGCCUCUCCAUAUUAUCCAGGGAACAUGCGAUGGCCUGCAAAUGUGGAAGAUUCUGGUCUUGCUUAUGACUGGGAGCCAGAUGGUAGAAGAGAUCAUAAAUCAUCUUCCAAGCAUAAGAAGAAACCUUCACGUAAAAGUCGAGAAACUUCAAAAGAAGAUGAAUCCACUGAGCCCAGUGAUUCCGGCUCUGAGAGUGAAUCAAAUGAAGAGCACUCUUUGAUGGAGAAAACGCAUAGGAAAAAGCAUGGGAAACAGUCGUCAAGAAAGGUUGUUAUCCGGAAUAUUAAUUACAUAACUUCUAAGAGAGAUGGAGACAAGGGUAAUAGUUCCGAGGAAACCUCUGAAGAAGAUGAAUUUAUUGAUGGAGAUUCCCUAAAGCAGCAGGUAGAGGAAGCUGUUGGGUCAUUGGGAAAAAGACAUAAAUCGUCCUCACACCAUCGUAGAAAACAAGAUGCGGUCAAGCACCGUAAUGGUUCAGAUGAUGUGGCUGAGCUGGAUGUUAAGAAUACCGCUGCAAGUAACAAUGGUGGAGAGAAAAGAAAUGACCCCUGGGAUAUUUUUCAGAAUCUUCUCCUAAAAGACAAUGACACAAGUUCUUUUGGAAUGGAACCACAGCCUUUUAAUUCUGAGGCAAGGUCAUUCCCCCUAAACCUGGAAUCUGAACAGGUAAGAAAAGAAAGAGCAAUUUCAAGUGAUGCCUUUGUUGCAACGAAGGCAAAUACGGGUAAUGAAGAUGAAACUCGUUUUGAUAACUUUGAAGAAGGCGAAAAGCUCCGCCAAACUGUUAAGAAAAAGGAUUACGCACAUGAGGAGUUGUUAUUUUCUCAAAGAAAUGAGGAUCCAGCAUAUUAUUCACAAGCGGUUCUAUCUGAUUUUGCUACCACUUCUACAAAGAUCAAAAAGCAAAAUGGAGAUUGGAUCAUUGUCAACCAACCAGAUAGAUCAGCGAAUUAUGAUGAAAGCUCGAGUUUCAAAACAUUUGAUGGCGAUUAUGCUUCAGUAGUAGCAGGGAGAAGUUCCCACACUGAUAAAAAUAAGAAAGAUGCUCUAGCUGAUGACUCUUUCAUGAUCCAAGGCAGACCACUUGUAGAUGAUCAAUCUGAUUCUUAUACGAGGACAGACAUUAUUGGGGCUACUCUUUAUGAAACUGUAACACCAGAAAUUUCGCAUGAUAAGCCAGAUGCUUUUAACAUGCAUGAGCCAGAUGACCUCUACAUGGUGCUUGGACGUGACUCAGCUACAGAGCAGGCUGCGGCAUCUUGGACCCCAGAAAUGGAUUAUGAAACUAACAUUGUAUUGACCAAAUCCAAUGAGAAGAACUCUAAUGACGAAACCAAUGUUGGUGUUGAUAAUAAGCUACCUUCUAAUGGUAAGAGUACCAGUGCUAAAAAUAAAGGCCCUCCUGGGGCAAGAGUUUCAAGUAAAGAUGCAAGGUCUAAAGUUUCAAAUGGCAAAUCUGACAUCAAUUCUAGAAGCAAGAAACCAUCCUCUGGAAGCAGGCCCACAGUUCUGAAGAGUAAACUUGAGAAGGUUCUGAAAUUUAAACUCCAACUUAACUCCUGAUAGAUUUACAGGAAGAUCAGUUGAACCAUGAGAGCAUAUAUACCUCUAAUGAGAAUUCAAAGCCUCACUUUAUUUUAAUACAUUUCAUCUAGGAAACUAGCAGAUGUUAGGAAAAAUCAAAAUGACAUGGUCUAUGACAUCAUUUCAUUAGGUAUCACGUCCAAUUUAACACGAAUCAUUAUUUGAUUCAUAUCAUUUUGAAUUAUUUCAUUCAAUCCAUGCACUUUUUCAUUGCAUGUUGUUGAACGAUUUUUUUUGUAUGUACUUGAUCUAUAUUUCUGUUCCACCUCUUUCACUCAUACACGAGAAAAAGCACAUACUUCAUUUGGUGAUGGCUUCAUUAUCCAAUGGCUCCACUUUAAGGGCCACUUUUGCCUUUAUAUAUUUUAUGAAAUUGAGAGUAAUUAUGUUAAUUAAUUGUUUCUUUUAUAAUUUAUUUUUCCUUCCUUGUGGACAGGAAGAAGAAAAUAGGAAGAAAAAGGAGGAAUUACUGAUUCAACGCCAGAAGAGGAUUGCUGAAAGGAGUGCUGGUGGUGGUGGUUCAGCAACAAUAAAGAGAACUCCAGCUGAAAAUAGAUCUCCCACUACUUCAAAGAAGACUGUGAAGAGUGAAAGUCAAUCCCCAGCUAAAGAGUUUGCUAAUUUACACAAACCAGUCUUUAGAAGUUCCACCAUGGAUCGGCUUGCAACCGCACGAACAACUAAAAACGCCCCACCAACUCAAACAAAAUCAGGCCACCCUAAAAAGGAAAUCUCGAAGGCAAAUGGUACUGCAACUACCUUGUCAAAGAAGACUGCCCGUGCUGAAAAUAAGAAAUCGAAUGCAAGCAGAGUAAAACCUUCAGAUAAGCAAAAUGGCCAAAAUUUUGUCAAUGAAGUAGUUCCUUGUGAUCCUGAUGUUCAAGGAAAUGAAGAUUGCAUGGACUCUGCAGCAGCAUUACCAACUGAUCCUGACGUUCAGAGAAAUCAGGAUUGUGUGGAGACCACAGCAGCAUUACAAAUUGAGUCAACAGCUGCGCAGGUAACUCAGAAUACUGAAGCUGCUGAUGAUAGCAAAGACAUUAAGGAGUUGCGCGGCAUUCUGUCAACUGAGAAGAAUGAAGAUAUAAUUGCAGAACGAAGCAACUUGGAUGAGGAAAGUUGCACUGUAAAUAUUACAGAAACACAGCCUCUGCAACUGGAUCACAUAAAAGAUGACGAAAAGUUAUCUAAGGCACUUCCAGCUCUUUGUGAAGACACAAAAGUUCCUGAAGAACAGGGUGUGCAUAUUUCUGAAACAACCAUGCAUCCUACACCGCUAGCGCAUGAAAAAGGUUUGGCCUUUCCUUCUGUUAAAUUUGAAGAAAGUGCUACAAUAAUUGAAAAUACCCGCUCUCCUGAAAUUUCUGAGAUAAAAGUCUCAACACCACCACCUAGUGAAUUGAACACAGAACCAAUGCACUCCAGAAAGAAGUGGAACAAUGACGACAACUCUCCCAAAGCUGCCAAGGGGUUUAGAAAGCUUCUUUUGUUUGGAAGGAGAAACCGACACAUUUAUACGGCUUGAUUGCAUAGACUUCUGGUUUAUUCUUGCAGCUUAUCUGUGUGUUUCAUAAUGCCUCAGCCUUGGAUUAUGGGAUGUUCCAGAGCUGGAGGCAGAUCCAUCAAGUUAAUUGUUUUAUUUGAAGCCAAUUUAUGCCACCUUAUGGCUAUCAAUGGGAAGGUAGAUAGCUGUCAUACACAAUAAGGCCUUCAGUUUUUCUGCCAUAUGAGGAGUCAUAUUGUAAGUUAUGUUGAUUUGAUAUGUGCUAGUUGAGGGUUCAAAACCGCAAAUGGGUAUUCAAUUGAUGUGUUUUUCCUUCUAAAUAUUGACAUACACUAAGAAAACACUUUUAAUCUUCUGAUAGUAUGUACCAGAAAUGAAUUUUUGUUGCAAAUGGGUUAUUUUCUUUAUAUUUAUUUUUUUGGUGGAGAAUUGUUUUUAUACUCUAUUAGUUGACUAUGUUCAUAUUCGAGUGGAGUGAAAUCCGCUUAGGCUUUGGUUUCAAGAGGAAAACAAUAGCAACUCUAUUGAAUACAUUAUAAAUAAUAGCUACUACUACUACGACGUGCCUUCCUUUCAGAUAAAGCAUUCAACUGUCAUUCGAUCAUCUCAUUUCUAGAAAAAAAGAGAAGUGUUUCCGCCGCAGCCGCCUCUUAUGCUCCACUUUGAGAUCGGUAAGUUUAGCCACUAUUUCUUCAUAAUCUGGAAGGUUUGGGUGAACAUGACCGGAUAAUUUUCCUUUUUUCUCUUUUAAUUUAUCAAUUGAACUAUCCAAAGAACGACAGUUUUUGAAUGACACUGAACUCCCAUUCUCCUUCAAGGGAUCACACUUCCUGGUUGAACUUUUCGUUGCCGAUGGCAAUGCUUUUUGUUGAUCCAUUUGAACUGCAAUUUUCUUGUGGUGUCCGCUAUUUGAGUCAGUUUGAGAAUGGGCUGAAAUGGUCCCAAAAUUCUGAAACCCCAGUUGGAUACCAUUUUCUUCGGCUAUUUUCUUGAUCAAUUGGAGUUUUUCAUCAUUAGGAACAAAACUUAUGCAUAGAUUGUGCUUCAUCUUUGCAUUCACUAGAUUCUCCUUUAAUUCAACAUUGCCAAAGCGCCUUUUCAACAGAUUCCGCAUUGUAUUCAGUUCUGGCAAUUCACCACAUCUUGAGGCAGCAAAUACCAAACUUGACAUUGCUUCAAUAACAUCACCAGGCAAGCAUUCCAAGCUACUACUACAACUAGUGGCAAUGGCACAACUCUUGACACAACUAGUGGCAAUGGCACAAAUCUUUAACAUUCUUGCAAAUGAAAUGAUAAAAUACAUGGCCAAAAGUACUGAAAUAGAGCACAUGUUACAUACCGAUGACUGCGAAUAUGAGGCAUGUUAGUGGCAAUGCAUUGGCAACAAUGCUCAAUUUGAUCGUAUGCAGCUAACAGGCACUGGUCUCUGUAUAGUUGCUUAACCUGAAAGUUAAACAAUAAAAUUACACAUCUUUUGGGUACAAGAAAACGAGAAAACAAACAAAAAAAUAGCAAGAACAGACCCUAUAUAAGGCUUUCUGAUGCUGGUGAUUUUGAAGAAUCUGAGCAAUAUCAUUUCGGGAUUGCCUCAGCAUAGACUCUUUCCUCUUCUUCAGCGCGCUUAGACGAAACUGAACAGACUGAACUUGUUUCAUCAAACUGUUCCUGCAGUAGAACCAGUAAUAAUCGAUUAAUAUAUAACAUUAAAUGUGGAAAUAACGUAAAACAUCCGACCUGUGCAUUCUAAAUGCAUUAGACAUCUGGCCUGCGUCAUAACAGAACUGAUCUACAUGACGCGGUUAAAAAUAAAAUAACAAAAGAGAAGCCAUGAAGUAUAGAUACAUCAUUUUACCACUUGGUUGAUUUUUUCAGUCUUGAGGCUUUGGCCCAUGCCAUAACACUACGAAGCAAAUCAAACAACACCAUUGAACAAGAAGAAGAAAUACAACAACAAAAAAGAACAAGAAAUUACUUUUCGCUUUGUGAUUCUUUGGUGAUAUUAGAGAAUUUACCAAGUAGAGCUAUUUAUAAUCUACUCAGCAAUGCAAAUCAUAAUUCCAACUUAGGGAAAAAAUUUACAGUCAUCUGUUACUUGGCCAAGAAACUGCAUAUCAAUUUUUUCCAAUUUAGUACUUAUUUUCUUCCGUUUUGAAGAUAUUUAAUGCAUCCCAAAAGGUAAAUGAAUAGGUAUCUUUAGACAGCGAACAAUUUUCACGUUCUCUCAAUCUCUUUAAUUCGGUCCAACUCAAGAACAUCCUUAGACCUAAUGGCUAGUUGUAACUUAAAAGAUAUAAUCGUAAAAUAUUAGAUAUACACUUAUAUUAGCGGGGCUUAACAAUUUAAAUAUAGCAUAAGAUCCUUAAAAGUACAAAAGAAUUCAAAUCAUGAGAAAAUUCUCAUCCAUGAUUAAAAAAAACCUAUAUGAUUUUUUUUUUAAUUUUGCCAAUAUUAUUGACUUUGAAAGUUCAUAUCUACCAUCAUUAUCAAUUUUUUUUCACAUUUAGAAUAGCUUGACUUUUAAAACACAACUAAUAAAUACAAAAUGUAACCUAAAUCUGUAGCAAGAGUCUGCAAGCAAUUACAACUUAAUUCUCUAAAUCUUUCUAUAAAUAUAAAUAUAUAUUUAUUUUUUUCAUAUUCGACAUCUUUCAUCUAAAAUAAUAUGGACCCCUUGAUUAUAAUAUACAUACAUACGUACAUAAAUACAUGUGUGUGUGUGUGUGGGCUCGUAUAUGUUGGCACUAUGGUAACAUACCAAAACUUUUGCCCUUAAGUGAGACAAUACUUCAAAUUUCUUAAAAUCAUUUGGAGUUGACAGCACAGAUGACGCGUCGCUUGUCAAGCAAGAAACUAAUUGUCGAAUCUUCCAUGAAUAUAUAAAUCAAAUGACAAGUCGUUAUCACUCAAAACACAAAUGACAAGUCGUUUCAUAUCAACAUCCAAGAUGAUAAGACACCAGCCAAGCAAGAACCUGUGUCAAGUUGUCACAAAAUUUAUAAAACUAAUGACAUGUCGAAUCCUAUCAAAACAGGGACAAUAAGUCAUUUCUUAUCAACAAAAAGAUGAUAUGGUGCCUACCAAUUAAGAAAAACUUCUUCAAACUAUCCAUAAAUUUAUGACUCUAACAACAUAUCUUAUUAUGACUCUAACAACAUAUCGUUUCUUAUCAAAACAUAGACAACAAGUCAUUUUUUUAUUAACAAAAACGACAACAUGUCGCUUUGAAAGCUAGAAAAACCUUUGUCAAAUCGUCCAUGAAUUUAUAAAUUAAACAUGUCGUUUAAAAUUGUUUCUUAUCCACGACAAAGAUGAUAGGUCAUUUAUCAAUAAUAAUAAAAAUCUCUGUCAAUCCGUCCACAAAUUUAAAAAUCCAAUAACAUGUCGUUUCCUAUGAAAACACAAACCAAGAAUCAUUUCUUAUCAAUUUAGUAGAUGACAAGUCGCUUGCAAAGCAACAACACCACCGAAAAAUAGUAUGAAAAAUUUAUAACAAGAACGAACUUUCGUUUAGUAUUGAAACACAAACAAAGAUUCAUUUCAUAGUAACAUCAAAGAUGAUAGAUCGCUUGUCAAGCAACAAAAUCUUCCUCAAAUCGUCUGAAAUUUAUAAACGAAUUACAUAUUUUUUUUCUUAUAAAAGAGACAACUAGUCGUUUCUCAUCAACAUCAAAGAUGACACAACACUUGCUAAGCAAGUACAACUCUAUCAAAUCAUCUGUAAAUUUAAAAAUCUAAUGACAUGUCACUUAUAUUCAUUACACAAACAAUGACUCAUUUCUCACCAAUUAAAAAGACGACACGUCCACUACUAAGCAAGGAACCCCAUUAUGUCGUGCAUGAACUUAUAAUCAAAAUGAUAGGUUAUUUUCCAUCAAAAUACAAGCGACAAGUCGUUUAUUAUCAACACAGAAGAUGACAGGUCGCCUACAAACCAAACAAUACUCCGUUAAAUCAUCUAAAGAUUUUUAAAUACAAUGAAUGUUAUUUAUUCAGAAAUGUUAUGGGUGUCAAUGUGCAAGUGUACACAACAAAUAAUAUAAUGAUUAUUUAAUAUCGUCUCCACAGAGAUUGAUGUUACUAGAUUUGCUACAGCAAUCUCAACAAUGUAGAUUUGCUUUAAUUAAAAAUAAAACAGGUAAUGAAACUAAUAAAUUAAUUAAAAUAAAAAUACAAAUACAUAAAUUCUCAUGUCACACACAAGGAUAAAAUCAAAGAGAAUUGAGUAGUUGAGUGAAUAAACUCACUUAAUGGUUUUGAUUAUUUUUCUAAUGUGGCUCGGUUGCUACAGCAUCUGCUACAACACUAAGGAGAAUCCUCAUGUAUUAUUAGUUGUUGCAUGUUUGAUAUCUUAUAUUUAUAUGCAACCUAACAGUGAUCAAUUGUUAUGCCAACAUAAGAUAUAACAUUACACGCUUAGGUUUUAAUUAUCCUACAAAAUGAAUCCAUAUGUCUAGUUCAUCAUUAAUUUUAGAUUAAGCACGACCCUUUUGGAAUCAAGUAAAACUCAACUCAGGAAACUCAAUCUAAAACCAAGUAUUGCUCUAAUAUGUUCCACUAAAAUAGGUUUUUUUGUGACUCUUUCUUAACUAGUAUCAUUAAAUAGGUGAUCAACCGAAAUAAUGAAUAGAAAUAAGUAUUAUCCACAUCAGAGAUGACAAGUUGAAAGAGAAACAAAGAUAGUUUUAUCAAGUAGUUAGUAAAUUACAAAACUUAUAAAAUCAAUGACAUGUUUUUAAAAAAAAAAUCGCAAAUGACAAUGUAUUUUUCGAGCAAGAAUAUCUCUAUCAAGUCGUCCAUAGAAUCUAUAAAUCCAGUGGCAUGUCUUGUUAUAUCAAAAUAAAACAACGAAUCAUUUUUUAUCUACAUUACAGAUGACACAUUGCAUUAAAAGCAAGAACUACUGCAUCAAGUCAUCCAUUGAUUUGUAGAACUAAAGACAUAUCGAGGAACAUAGGAAAUAAAUUGUUUUUCAUCAGCUUUAUAGAUGACAUGACGACAUGACACAUGCCAAGCAAGAACAACUUGGUCUAGUCAUCCAUAAAAUUAUUAACCUAAUGACAUGUCAUAGAUGACGAAUUGUUUUUUAUCAACCAAAAAGGUGACACAUAGCCUUCAAAGUAAGCAAAUAUCCAUCAAGUCGUCCGUUGUUCAUAAAACCAAUGACAUGUUGUUGUAGGUUUUAUAAUGUUAUUGGUGUUAAUGUGCAAGUGUACACAACAAGUAAUAUAUUAUAAGUAUUUAAGAUCAUCUCCACAUGGAUUGUUGUUAUAGGAAUUGCUACAACAAUUUUAUCAGUGCAAUUUUUAUUCUAAAUUAGAAUUAAAACAAAUUAUUAAACUAAUGAACUAAUUAAGAUAAAAAAAUACAAUAAGAAAAAUGCAAUAAAGUAACUAUCAUAGCAAAUAUAAAUAUGCAAUCAAAAGGAAUGGAGUAGUUGAGUGAUUAAACUCAUUUAAUGAUUUUGACUAUUUUUCUAAUGUUUGGUUCAAUUGCUACAUCAUCUGCUAUAGCUCUGGGCAGAAUUCUUAUGUAUCAUCAAUUGUCGCAUGUUAGAUAUUGUAUAUAUAAAUACAACUUAAUAGUAACCAAUUGUUAUGCUAACAUCAUAUAUAUCAUUACACGUUUUAGAUUUUAAUUAUCUUACAAGGUGAAUCCCUAUAUAUAGUUCAUCACUAAUUUUAGAUUACGUAUGACCAUUUUCGAAUCAAGUUAAACACAAUUCAAGAAACUCAAUAUAAAACCAAGUAUUGUUCUGAUAUAUUUCAAUAAGAUAGACAUUUUUAAGGCUCUAUCUUAGCUAGUAUCAUUAAAUUAAAAUAAGUAUUAUCAAAACAAUAUGCUAUAGCAAACAUGCAGUAACAUAGAAUAUUAGUCAAUUAACCAUCAAGUUUGUUCAUCACUCAACCACAAGUAAAUUUAGUUCAUAAUCUGCAAUAAAACAAGAAUCAAAAUAGUUUCAGUCAUCAAACAAUCCAUCAUAAAGAGAUAAAAACAAGACAACAAGAAAUAAGAGUUGAGAUUUGCUUGAUGUUCUUCUAGAAUCCUUUGUUGUCGUUCUCAAUUCUCUCUCUUGAUCUUUGUUUUCUCUUAUUUUGUCUAUCUAUUCUUUUUCUCUAAUGACGGCCUCUUUUUUUUCUUUAUGUGUAUGGUCCUUUUAUAACUUAGAAUUAGGGCAACCGAAAGCCUAAGACGCGCAUCUUCUAAUUUAAAAAACUUCAAAUCCCAAUCUUCCAAGUAUCUCGCGCAAAAUAUUGUCUGUUGUUGCUCCAGGAUUGCUACAACAACAGUGCUACAUCAUUGGCUUCAACAUCUGUACAGUUGCAGACUUGUUUUAAUUCUUCUAUAGCCAUAUUCUUUCCUUAUCCUUACAAACCUACUGCAGCAGCAUUUAUUCCUUGAAUCUUGAGCUUUCAGUCACCUUCAAUUAUGUAUAUUGAACUAAGUACAUAAAUUAUUCUAAAUUAAACAAAAUUUAUUGAGAGUAAACUAAAAUGGAUGGUUAUGCAAAAUAUAACUAAAAUACAGUAAAAACAUAUCAUUCACUCUCUAAGCAAUGUUGAUUUAAGAAUAAAAUCACCAUGAUAACUCUGAUUUCAUAGAAUUAUCACAUGUCCUUUCUCAUUAAACAAAGAUGAGGAGUUGCUUCCAAUCAACAACAAAGAUAACAAAUCACAUGACAAGCAGGGAAAAUAUUGUCAAAUCAUCCACAAGUUAAUUAAACUAUUGACCUGCCAUUUUUCUUCAAAAUACAGAUGAGGAAUUGUUUCUCAUCAACAUAUCAGAUGUCUCAUCAAAUCAUCUGAAAAUUUAUAACACAAACAACCUAUCGUUUUGUCUAAAAAAAACAAAACAAGUCAUUAUUGAUUAACAUUACAGAUGACAUGGCGCUUGUCAAGUAAGAAAUCUUCCGCCAAGUUAUCCAUUUAUUUGUAAGUCCAAUAACAUGUAUGACGAGUUCUUAUCUAUUUUUUAGAUAACACGUCACAUCAUAAGUAGCAACUACUCUGCCAACUCGUCCAUUAAUUUAUAUAAGCAAUGACAUGUCGUUUUCUACUGCUUCUUGUCAACAUCACAGAUGACAUGUUGCUUGUAAAAAAAAGCGUCUCUGUCAAGCCAUUCAUAAAAUUAUAAAGAUGACAGAUCGCUUGUCAAGAAAGAUUAUCACCGUCAAAUAGUCCAUGAAAUAUAUAAACAUAUGACAUGAGGUUUCAAUCAAACAAAGAGUAUGUCAAGUCAUCCAUAGAUUUAAUGACUAAUAACAUGUCGUUUCUUAUCAAAAUGAAGACGGCGAUUCAUUUUUUGUCAAUGUGGGAGAUGACACUUUGUUGUCUAGAAAUUACUACUCUAUCGAGUCAUCUAUAUAUUAUGAAUCCAAUGACAUGACAUUUAUUCAAAAUGCAGAUGAUGAGUCGUUUCUUAUCAACAUCACAGAUGGUAUCUUUUCAGGCAAAAACAAAUUCGUCAAGUCAUCCACAAAUAUAUUAGUCCAAUGACAUGUCGUUUCCUAUCACUUACAGGUUGCGCCAAGGCAUCCUAUUUAUGCUUCUUGGUUGUUUGGAUAGUAAGGACAAAUUAUCGCCUAUUUUUUAGGUAUCAAUGACAUAUCGUUUUUCAACUCAAUAAUAAAAGACGACUCAUCUACCUUUGUGCCAAUUAUUAUUAUUAUUAUUAUUAUUAUUAUUAUUAUUAUUAUUAUUAUUAUAACCAAUGACAUUUUGAUAACUUGUAACAAUUCAUUCCAAUUGUUGGAUAAAUUGAAUACGGUAACGAGAGUGCGGCCUAUUCUAAUUCUAGUUCCUACAACUAAAAUAAGUAACUUAUCUUAAUUUCAAUUCUAAUCCAUUCUGAUGUUAGCCCAUUCUAAUUUCAGUUCACUCUAAUUACCAAUUGAUAAAUGCACUAUUAAAGUAAUGGAAGUAAUGUCCUUAAAAAAUCAAUGACUUAUCAUUUUCAAAGUAAAAUUUUACAAAGGUUAUUUUUUAAAAAAUAAUGGUGAUUGCAAGGUGCUAGUUACAAGUAGGUUAUGGAUUAGUUCGGUUCAAUACAGAGUUCAUUAGAACCAAUAAGAGCAUACCAUAAAAAAAAUCGAACCAAAGUCAAAUUUUCACUCAGGUUCCUAAAUAUUUAUACUUUUUUUUUAAUUUUCUUACAAAAUUUAAUUUUUAAAAUUUUUUUUCUUAUGUCCUCUUAAAUCAUGCUAUCUGGCACUAUUUAAAGAUUAAACAAAAAAUUAAAAAAAUUAUAGGUUUUUUAUUGAUUUGAUUCCAAUUUUAGGGGAAAAAUACCGACCCAAAACUUGAAAAUCAAAUUAAUCGAACCAGUCUUUUCAAAACGGGUUUGACUUUGGCAAACCCUAAUGCUAAUCUUAUCAUUUUUUAAAGUAAUAUUUGGCUCUGAAAAUGGUUUCAUACCAUUUUUUUUUUCAUUUCGUGCCUAAAACUAUCCCCAAUUAAUUGAUAAGCAUAUUUGUUAAUAAUAAUUUUCAGAAAGAUCAUGGCUCUUAAAUCUCAAUUAUUCUCGAAGAAUUUUAUAUACAACAUAUAUGAAAAAAAAAUGAAGAUUGAAGAUUUCAGUUUUGCAAUAUUAUGGUAUGGUAUAUUUAUUUGCCCGAAAUAUAUUAUCUUGUUAUUUUACUAUAAUCAUAAUUAUAGUUUUCAUUGUGAUUAAUAAUUGUAGUUUUAAUAAGAAUUGUUACUAUAAUUACUAUUAAAAUUGAGCAACUUAUUUAUUAUAUGGUAAAUAAGUAAUUUUGUAAAUUAUAAAAUUCAUGAUAUAACAUAUGAGUAUAGUAGUUGGCACUCAAAUUUUGUGAUAACUUUUUUUUUACUUUUUUAUUUUACAAUUACAAUUAUAAUGUUUAUAAUUUCAUAUAACUAUUAAAAAAAUAAACAAUCUCUUACUUUCCUUAAAAUCAUUUGGAUUCCAAAUUUAUAGAUGAUGUGACAUUUGUGAAGCAAGUAAAAGAUGUCAAGUCGUCUAACUGUGUGUGUGUGUGUGUAAUAUGGCAUAUUAUUUUCCAUCGAAACAUAGACGACAAUUUAUUUAUAAUACGCACAGGUGCAUUCUAUUUACACAUGUCUUUUGUAUGAAUGUUUCAAACGAAAUGCCUUCUAAUAACGAAAUGAUAAAAGAUUGGUCAUUUGAAACCUUUUUGCCAAUUAAAAUAUUUUUAAUAUUUUAUCAUUAUUAUUGUUAUUACAUUAUUAUUAUUAGUAUUUUUAAUAAUAAUAAUAUCUUCUUCUUCAUCAUCAUCAUCAUUGAUGUGCUAAUUUUAUAUGUAUUAAUAUAAUGUUUUCCUAACAUAAUUUUAUGUCUAGUCUUUAUUUUAUUAUUCUUGUUUUUUUUAAAUCUUAAAUCUUGAGUUUUAUUAUUGUAGGCAUAUUUUGAAAUAUUCAAGUAAGAAGAGCUUAAAGAAGAAAUUAAUUGGAAGAAAAACAAAGAAUACAUGGCCUAAUUAUGGCAAUCAUGUGAAAAUGAGAAAAAUUAGCAUUGGAAAUUAUCUAUCUCUUAUUAACAAGACAAGCACUUAUGAUUUAUGAAUGUGAAGAAUAAAGGAAAAGACAGAAAAGGAAAUUAAAGGAGGCGGCUACCACUAUUACUAAACAAAGGCUACCAAUUGGAGCAUUAUUUAAGGGCAAGAGCAGAAGCUAAGAGAAAAGAAAAGAAAAAAAAGAGAGAGAGAAACAGCAGCCGCCAGAAUUUCCAAAAGCCGAGAGCAGUAAAAGCAGACCGAGAGAGAAACGGACUCUGAGUUUUUCUUUCUUGUUUCCUUUAUAUAUUAUCUUUGCUUAAACGCUUUCCUAUUAUGUCUAUGGAUUCCCUUUAUAUUCUUAUCAACUAAUUUAUUUUAUUAGGGCUAUGAUGUAACCUAGUUAUGAAAAUUGAAUUCUAUAAAUCUAUAUUAUCUUUAGUUUGUUAUUCCAUGAUUGGUUGUUUAUUAUUAUACUUAAUGUUUUUAAAUAUCUAACUAGUAUUUAAAUGAUAUAAUGAUACAUAAUGAGAUCGAGAAGAUAUUUAUGUAUUUUUGCCCUGUGUAAUAGAUGCCAUGAAUUAAAUGAAACACAAGGAUAUGCCAACGAGAUUCGUGCAGUUCUAUCUAAAAAUGUUCAUAAACUUUAAUGAAUUCUUAGCUCUUGCAUAUUUAAAUUGACAAAGAAUACAAUGAGUUAAUAUGUGAGGAUAUUUUUGACAUCACUCCAAAGAGGAUAUUAUAUUUAUUAGGGAAAUUCACUUUCAACAUGGAUAAUAAUUUUUAGUCGCAUAGAUGAAGGAUUAAACUGGAUUGGGUAUAGUGAAGUCAAAUGUCUAGUAUCUUAAUCUCUUGUUAAAUCAUAAUUACUUGCAUCUUAUUUCAUUUUUUAGUUGCUUUAUUUUAUUUUAAUUUCUAAUCUAAAUUUGCUUAUUCGAUUAUUCAAAUAAAUUUGGGCUAAAAUAAUUUUGGUGGCUAAUAAGAUAUAUGUUGUGCAAAUUUUAAUGUACUCGCAAGCGCACGAAUCUAUUGUAGUAUAGAUCUAUGGUGACGAGUGUCGAUCCCACGAGGAGGUAUUAAUGUCAAUUAAAUCAUGAGGGGGGAAUCCACACCUCAUGAACCGCGCUCUAAUCAAUAUGGUGCUAAGGGCUUAUCGUGCCAAAUAAUAAUGACCUUAUACUAGAGAGCCGGUGUAACCAAGGCGGUAUCUAGACAAGAUCAGUAUUAUUUGUCGACGAUAAGUCAAAUCAUCCACAAAAACUAGAGGGGAAAAGAAAAUAAAUUUACCAAAUAAAGCUCAUGACACAUGUUGAGACUUCACCUUCAACCCAAGCUUGAAAGAAAAUUAGCCACUCAUAGUUGAACUAGGGGCAAAAUGGGAAUUUAUUAAAAUACAAAGAAAAUACAAGAUGGAGCAGGAAUUACAGAAAAUGGAUCCCAAAAAUGGAUUCAGAGCCAUCAAAUUAGGGGGGAGAGGUCCCCUUUUUAUAGAUACAUGGAGUAAAUCAUGGCCAUCGGAUUAAAAACAGUUUGGCCGCUCAGGAUUGCGCCACGUCAUCAGUCAACAUUCCACGGUUUGACCACGUGGAUGAACAGUAACACGGUUUGACCCAGAUGAACAGUAACACGGUUUGGUUGAAAAUAAUCCUAUGUUAUGCAUGCACCGUACGCGAGAUUUUUCGUCCACUAAUAUGCUGCCACGUCACCAUCAACAGUACAUGAGAAUUUUAGUCCAACAGGAUCGUGACACCUCAUCAGUCAAUGCCACAUCAUCGGUCAAUGCCACGUCAUCGAUCCGUCUAUGUGAACAGUAACGUAGACAGUACCGUAUACGUGAAUAGUACCGUACAUGUGAAUAGUGCCGUACAUGUGAAUAGUGCCAUUUUUCCUUUUAUGCUCCUCCUAAGGUUUUUGACCGUCCUGAGUUCAAAAGUGAUGUCCGUUUUGCCGUCUGAUCUCUCCUUUAUUGUGAAAUGACUAUAAUGCCCCUAAAAUACAUAAAAUACUUAAUUAAAAUAAAACACAUGUAAUUAAAUCACAAGAAGGUUAAAUACAUAAAAGUAAGGGUUGUUAGGAAGACUUGAAAUGUAAAAUAACGGUUUUCUCCUUUAUAAAUAUGCAUUUUCUAACACUCAACAAUAUACAAUGUUUUUAGGAUGAUACUUUACUAUUACUUGUGCUGAUUAGUACACUUGUUAAUUUACACAACAAUUAUCAUCAUCAUUAUCAUCAUUAUUAUCGCUAUUAUUAUAAUAGAUAAUAAUAAUACUACAGAAGAUAAAUAAUUAUGGAUAUUUUGGCAACUUGUAACAGUCUAUUUCAAUUCUUAGACAAACUAGUAAACACAAUAAUGGAAAUAUAACCUACUCCGAUUUUUAUUUCUAUAGCUAAAGUAAACAAUUUAUUCUAUUUUUUAUUCCAAUCUAUUUCAAUACUAGCUCAUUUCGAUACCCAACACAUUCUGAUUACCAAUUGAUAAAUGCACUACUAAAGUAUUGGAAGUGAUGUCCUUGAAAAAUAAAAGACUUAUCAUCUCCGAAAUAAAUUUUUACAACGAUUUUUUUUUAAUAAUGUUGGCUACUAAAUGCUAAUUAAGGGUAGGCAAUUGGUCAGUUCGAUUUGGUAUUGUAUUCUAAAGAACUGAUCAAGAACAAAAAAAAAAUCAAACAAAAACUAAAAUUUUUUAUCAUGUCUUUCAAAUAUUUAUAAUUUUUUAAUUUUCUUACCAAAUUUAAUUGUUUUUAGUUUCUUUAUGUACUCUUAAAUCAUGUCAUUGGCAUUAUUUUAAUAUAAAAAUGUUACUUUUUUUUAUUCGGUUAUGCUUUUAGGUGGUGUUUGGUUAUAAGAAAUUGGAGGAGAUGAGAGGAGAAAAAAGGAGAGGAAUGGAAAGGUGAUGAGAGGAAAAGAGUGUAAAAAUUAAUUGUUAUUGUUUGGUUUCACAUUAAAUUUGAAAAGAAAAUAAAUUACAUAUUUUUUAUUUGGACACAUAUACCCACUAUUUUAAUCUUAAUAUUGUUAAUAAAUUAAAAAUAAUAAAACUAUGAAUUAAUUUAAUCUAGAAAUUACCUAAUUAAAUAAAAAAUUUAUUUUUUAAAAAUUACAGCAUUUGGCCAUGGACAGCCGUCAUGUUGACUUUCAUUGACUGUCGUUGACCACCGUUGACCAGCAACGUUGACCGUUAUUUUUUAUCGCAUUAAAUGCAUAAUAAUGAUCAGAAAUAGACGAUUUACUCAUUGGAAGUGUUAAUUUUGUAGAAAAUAUGCUAUAUAGUUGGAAAUAUGAGAAUUAAAAUUGUUCCAAGUAUUUAAACAAGACUUGAGGUAAAUAACAAUGUAUAUUAGCAUUUCUAACCCCGUAGAGUUGUAGAUCGGGUCAUGAGGAUUCCAUUGGUACCGGUUUUGAUAGAAAAGUGUGUCUCCGGCGAAACUCUGGGGAGUCACUUUACUGUUUUUUCUUUUUUCAAAUAAGUUUAUCCUAUUAAUUUAAGAAAAUAAAUAUAAAUUAUUUGUACUUUAAUUUAUUUAAAAUUGAUUUUGUUUAGAGGAUAAUAUUGAAAUUGUUGUGUUUAAAUAGACAAGGAAUUUGAAAUCCUUAGUCAUUGAUAAGGAAUACAAAUUUUUCAAAUUGAUGGAAAUUGAAUUUCAAUUGAAUUUGGUCUAACCAAACAAUAGAAAGUAGAAAAGAAAUCAAAUUCUUUUCCUCUCCCCACUUCUCUACCCCCAAGCAAACAUGGCCUUAGGAUUUAGAUCUUUUACUCUAUGUAGAUUAUAUCACGGAUCCUUAGGAAUUUAGAUUCUUUUACUCUAUGUCAGGUUAUAUAACUGAUUCUUUAGAGUUUAACUUUUUUUUCCUUUUCAUAUUUAAUACCCUCUAAACCACUACAUAUCUUCUUGUAAAUAAUUUUAGAGGCUCUCUUGAUCAUUCACAUUUUACCCAAGAACUCAUUUUUCAAUUUGUAAAACUUUAUAAAUAUUCCCCUUCAGAUAAUUUUUCAUAAAAAUCAUGGUUAAAAUUGUUGAACGAGAAGAAGAAGAUGAAGAAGAAGAAGAAACAGAAGUUAUAAAAAAAUUAAGUUCGAUAACAUCGAAUUAUCGAUUUACCAGAAACAGGAAGGUAAGAUAUAAGGAUUUUCAAAUUUCAUAAUGCAAACUUUUUGGGCAUGAUAUACAUGAAGAUAUUGCAUCACGAGUCCUUCUUUACCUUAGAUUUUCGCAGAUUUUAAUAUCUAAAUGGGAAAUAAUCUAUAAACCACCAGUGACGAAGGUAUGAUUAAAAAAAAUGCUCAGAUUUUGUUUUAUACUUUUAAUUGUUGCUCUAUAACUCUCAAUGAUAUGCUCUCUAGACAUAAAAAGGAAACUUUAUAAUGUCUUUUGAUAUUUGACAUAAAAAAUAGUAAAAUGUGUUUAAUUUAUUGCUUCAUUACGCACAUUACAUGCCACGAACAUGAAGUCAUGUACUGUCACCAUUUGUCUAUUUUCAUUGUACUUUGAUGCAACAGGGUUUUUGUUAAUAGAAUUACAAGAAAAUUUACAUAAUUAUACAUUUUGUAAACUCCAUCUCACUACUGCAGCACACUGGAGGAUUGAAUGUAACCUACGCUCAAAUGGGACAACUUAUGUUACGGUAAGUUGAUUUACUUUAUGUUUCGAUCCCAUUGAUGAAUUUAUUCCUUGUUAUUAAGUUAACUAUUGGUAAGCUUAUUGUGAGAUUAAAGAUUUGAUUUCAAAUAAGAGAUUUUGUUAAAUGGAAGUAGCAUGUUUGAGAAUAUUUGUUGUCAGAAUAAAUUGUUUGAUGCAAUUAACUAACUGCUCGAUGAAACGUUUCAGUGAGCUCCUCUACACCAAUUCCCCCUCAGCAGGAGUCCUUUGUGUAUCAGCAGCAUAUGAUAUUAAUGUCAAUUAAAUCAUGAGGGGGGAAUCCACACCUCAUGAACCGCGCUCUAAUCAAUAUGGUGCUAAGGGCUUAUCGUGCCAAAUAAUAAUGACCUUAUACUAGAGAGCCGGUGUAACCAAGGCGGUAUCUAGACAAGAUCAGUAUUAUUUGUCGACGAUAAGUCAAAUCAUCCACAAAAACUAGAGGGGAAAAGAAAAUAAAUUUACCAAAUAAAGCUCAUGACACAUGUUGAGACUUCACCUUCAACCCAAGCUUGAAAGAAAAUUAGCCACUCAUAGUUGAACUAGGGGCAAAAUGGGAAUUUAUUAAAAUACAAAGAAAAUACAAGAUGGAGCAGGAAUUACAGAAAAUGGAUCCCAAAAAUGGAUUCAGAGCCAUCAAAUUAGGGGGGAGAGGUCCCCUUUUUAUAGAUACAUGGAGUAAAUCAUGGCCAUCGGAUUAAAAACAGUUUGGCCGCUCAGGAUUGCGCCACGUCAUCAGUCAACAUUCCACGGUUUGACCACGUGGAUGAACAGUAACACGGUUUGACCCAGAUGAACAGUAACACGGUUUGGUUGAAAAUAAUCCUAUGUUAUGCAUGCACCGUACGCGAGAUUUUUCGUCCACUAAUAUGCUGCCACGUCACCAUCAACAGUACAUGAGAAUUUUAGUCCAACAGGAUCGUGACACCUCAUCAGUCAAUGCCACAUCAUCGGUCAAUGCCACGUCAUCGAUCCGUCUAUGUGAACAGUAACGUAGACAGUACCGUAUACGUGAAUAGUACCGUACAUGUGAAUAGUGCCGUACAUGUGAAUAGUGCCAUUUUUCCUUUUAUGCUCCUCCUAAGGUUUUUGACCGUCCUGAGUUCAAAAGUGAUGUCCGUUUUGCCGUCUGAUCUCUCCUUUAUUGUGAAAUGACUAUAAUGCCCCUAAAAUACAUAAAAUACUUAAUUAAAAUAAAACACAUGUAAUUAAAUCACAAGAAGGUUAAAUACAUAAAAGUAAGGGUUGUUAGGAAGACUUGAAAUGUAAAAUAACGGUUUUCUCCUUUAUAAAUAUGCAUUUUCUAACACUCAACAAUAUACAAUGUUUUUAGGAUGAUACUUUACUAUUACUUGUGCUGAUUAGUACACUUGUUAAUUUACACAACAAUUAUCAUCAUCAUUAUCAUCAUUAUUAUCGCUAUUAUUAUAAUAGAUAAUAAUAAUACUACAGAAGAUAAAUAAUUAUGGAUAUUUUGGCAACUUGUAACAGUCUAUUUCAAUUCUUAGACAAACUAGUAAACACAAUAAUGGAAAUAUAACCUACUCCGAUUUUUAUUUCUAUAGCUAAAGUAAACAAUUUAUUCUAUUUUUUAUUCCAAUCUAUUUCAAUACUAGCUCAUUUCGAUACCCAACACAUUCUGAUUACCAAUUGAUAAAUGCACUACUAAAGUAUUGGAAGUGAUGUCCUUGAAAAAUAAAAGACUUAUCAUCUCCGAAAUAAAUUUUUACAACGAUUUUUUUUUAAUAAUGUUGGCUACUAAAUGCUAAUUAAGGGUAGGCAAUUGGUCAGUUCGAUUUGGUAUUGUAUUCUAAAGAACUGAUCAAGAACAAAAAAAAAAUCAAACAAAAACUAAAAUUUUUUAUCAUGUCUUUCAAAUAUUUAUAAUUUUUUAAUUUUCUUACCAAAUUUAAUUGUUUUUAGUUUCUUUAUGUACUCUUAAAUCAUGUCAUUGGCAUUAUUUUAAUAUAAAAAUGUUACUUUUUUUUAUUCGGUUAUGCUUUUAGGUGGUGUUUGGUUAUAAGAAAUUGGAGGAGAUGAGAGGAGAAAAAAGGAGAGGAAUGGAAAGGUGAUGAGAGGAAAAGAGUGUAAAAAUUAAUUGUUAUUGUUUGGUUUCACAUUAAAUUUGAAAAGAAAAUAAAUUACAUAUUUUUUAUUUGGACACAUAUACCCACUAUUUUAAUCUUAAUAUUGUUAAUAAAUUAAAAAUAAUAAAACUAUGAAUUAAUUUAAUCUAGAAAUUACCUAAUUAAAUAAAAAAUUUAUUUUUUAAAAAUUACAGCAUUUGGCCAUGGACAGCCGUCAUGUUGACUUUCAUUGACUGUCGUUGACCACCGUUGACCAGCAACGUUGACCGUUAUUUUUUAUCGCAUUAAAUGCAUAAUAAUGAUCAGAAAUAGACGAUUUACUCAUUGGAAGUGUUAAUUUUGUAGAAAAUAUGCUAUAUAGUUGGAAAUAUGAGAAUUAAAAUUGUUCCAAGUAUUUAAACAAGACUUGAGGUAAAUAACAAUGUAUAUUAGCAUUUCUAACCCCGUAGAGUUGUAGAUCGGGUCAUGAGGAUUCCAUUGGUACCGGUUUUGAUAGAAAAGUGUGUCUCCGGCGAAACUCUGGGGAGUCACUUUACUGUUUUUUCUUUUUUCAAAUAAGUUUAUCCUAUUAAUUUAAGAAAAUAAAUAUAAAUUAUUUGUACUUUAAUUUAUUUAAAAUUGAUUUUGUUUAGAGGAUAAUAUUGAAAUUGUUGUGUUUAAAUAGACAAGGAAUUUGAAAUCCUUAGUCAUUGAUAAGGAAUACAAAUUCUUCAAAUUGAUGGAAAUUCAAUUCCAUUAAACUUAGUCCAACCAAACAAUGGAAAGUAGAAAAGAAAUUAAAUUAUUUUCCUCUCCCCACUUCUCUACCCCCAAGCAAACAUGGCCUUAAGGAAAAAAUACCCAAUCGAAACAUGAAAACCAAUUGAAUUGAACUAAUUUUCAGAACAAGCUCGAUGCUAUUCAGCCCAAAUGCUAAUCAUAUUUUUUAUUUUUUUAUAAUAUUUGGCUUUCAAGAUGAUUUCAUACUUUUUUUUAUUUUGGGCCCAAAAAUAUCCCUAAUUAAUUGAUAAUUCAUUAUCAUCAUCAUCAUUUUUUGAAGAAUGAUAGUAGUAGUUGUUGAGUUGUGUCUCACAUUGGCUAAACAAUAGGAGAUACUUUGGGUUUAUAAGGAGGUAUGUCACUCCACCUAAAAGGCUAGUCUUUUGGGCUAGAUAUCUAGAGGUUGGAUACCUAGAAAUCUUAUGCUAAGUCCCCCCAACAAGUGGUAUCAGAGCUAGACCUUAAUAGUCGGAAUGUGGUAGUGGAACAAUUUAGGUGUGUCGGACAAAAGGAACGGAGUCCGACAGUGGUUUCGUCCGAGGGGGGAUUGUUGAGUUGUGUCCCACAUUGGCUAGUAAAUGAGAGAUACUUGGGUUUAUAAGGAGGUAGGUCACUUCACCUAAAAGGUUAGACCCUAGUAGUCGGAAUAUGGUGGUGGAACAACUCAGGUGUGUCGGACGAAAGGACUAGAGUCUGGCGGUAGUUUCGUCCAAGGGGGGGAAUUGUUGAGUUGUUUCCCACAUUGGCUAAAAAAAGGGAGAUAUUUGGGUUUAUAAGAAGGUAGGUUACUCUACUUAAAAAGUUAGUCUUUUAGGUUGGAUACCUAGAAAUCUUAUGCUAAGUCCCCUCAACAAGCGGUAUCAGACCUAGACCCUAAUAGCCGGAAUGUCGUAGUAGAACAAUUCAGGUAUAUCGAAUGAAAGGACCAGAGUCCAGCGGUAGUUUUAUCCGAGGGGGAUUGUUGAGUUGUGUCCUAUAUUGACUAGUAAAUAUGCGAUACUUGGAUUUAUAAGGAGGUAGAUCACUCCACCUAAAAGGUUAGUCUUUUGGGUUGGAUACCUAAAACUUUUAUGCUAAGUCCGCCCUCCCCCCCCACCCCAACAAUAAUAGUAGUAGUAAUCACAAUUAUUAUAUAUAUUGUAAUUACAAUAAUCAAUUAAGGUCAUUUUAGUAACUUUUAACAAUCCGUUAAACACAUCAAUUGACAAUACAGUUCAUUUUAAUUCUAACUCUCACAGCUAAAGUAAAUAAUUUAUCAUGAUUCUCAUUCUCCAUUUCGAUUCUAACCCAUUAUGAUUCCAAUCCAUUUUUAUUCUAAUCUAUUCCAAUUACCGAUUGAUUAAUGCACCAUAAAAUAAAUGACAUGGCGCAAAGAACGUUCAAUACUCAACAUUUAUCAACUUAGUAAGAGAGAGGUGCCUUCAAUAACAAAAAAUUGUUCACUCAGCCAGGUAAACUCAAAUCAAUAUGAACUGACGAUUACAAAGCAAAAAAAAAAAAAAAACGAUGUUGUUCAUAGUGCUGAUGGGAUAAACAAGGCAACAAAAGGAUGAGCUCCAAGUAGGUUACAACCUUUGAUAUGCAUAAUUUAAGAAAGCAAAAUGAUCCACCGACCACCUGCUCUUUUCGGGUUUUUCAAAAAUACACAUUUUUUUUUUGUUGAUUUCCACUAAAAGUUACAUUUUCUUACAUUUUUCCACUUCUGUUUGCAUUCUGUUACAACUUUGCUGAUAUCAUAGGGGUAAAAUUGUCAUUUCACCUGUAUAACAAAAAUCAACAUCAUUUAAACGUGGUAGAAAGAGGAAAAAAAAAGGGUAAAAAUAUUGUAGAUUAUUUUGUUUAACUUAUUAUCUGAUGUCUAAAUUGCAAAGAAAAAUUGAAGUAAUUUAUUUUUUUUCAUUUAAUUAGGGUGAAAUAGUAAUUUUGCAUUAAGGGGGUAAAACAAUUAUUUUGUUAAUAUUCUGUUAACUUCUCUCAUAAAGUUUAGACGGCAGUGGAAAAAUGAUAUAUUUUGUAACUUCAUGUGAAAAUUAGUAAAAAAAAAUGUGUAUUUUUUAAAAAAAAAUUGAAAAAAUAGAUAGCCGGUGUAUAAUUUUUUUUAAUAAAAUUAGUAAAAAAAUACUAUUAACUGUACAAUAUUAUAAAACACUUUGACAUGUCUAUAUUAAUAAAAUAAAAUAAAAAAAACACUGGCACCUCCGAAUGAUUAAUGUUUAUACAUAGGACCCUUCUAUGUUACAGAAUCUGUAACAAACCGCCCAAAAACUAGUUUCUUUACACCUCUAAAUGUUGUUAUUCAAACAAUUCAGGGGUGAUGGAAAAUUUGUUUUGGGUGAGCUGUAAGUUACAGAAUCUGUAACUUAGCAGCACCCACAUAGGUAAUAUAUACACCCACAUGUUCCUUUACAGGAUCUUGACCGCCAGUUGAUCCAGGUCAAAACCAUGGUCCCGGCCCCACAUGCCCUCGCUCGUGGCAGAAGUAUUAUACAGCGCGUAACAAAGUGUAUCCGGACUGUACUGAUCCCCAAAUCAGCAAAUCAAAACUCACAGUAUAAGAAACAGACAACUAACAUCGGUCGGCAAUGGUUCCCAUGCCUUCUCUUAUUCCCAAUCGCAUGUUCCACGCAUCCUGAUGAAGCGUAACAUCAACCGUCGGAUCUAACAAUUGCGUCUGAACUAAUAAUAAAAUAAAUAAAAUAAUAUUUAUUAUUAAAAGCAGGCCUACUUUUUGUAAAUAGAAGCAUCCAAUUCUCCUCCACCGACAAUCAUCAAUCACAUCACAAAUACGAAAUGCCCGUGAUACCCUUUUGACAACCAACUUCUCUUGUCAGAGAAUGGUCAAUGGCUGGACACGAUUGUACUUUGCGGUUUGAGUGCUUGUACAGCAAUCUACAGAAGUUUGUAAACUGUGCAAUUUCCGGAAACUUCCAUCGGUUUACUUUCUGGUGGGAACAGAUCCUUUUUCCGUAUAUCCAAAGUACCCCCGCGACAAACCACAUAUGACAUCAUGUCCCGGUUGGGGAUUCUUUUGGGCUCGAGUUAUUGAGGACACUAGAAUGUGAAUUUGGAGAAAUUUUAGAAUAUAUUAUAGGUAUUAUGUCAGUCAUAUAAUAGAUAAAUGAUGUUAUUAUAUAUGUGUAUUUAUUUUAAAAAAUCAUUAUAUAAGUGGUGGUUAUAUUAAAUUGAAUUACAUAUAUCAUAUAUGCAUCAAUUGAUUGUAAUACAUCGAAGGUAUUUUAGAAUUUCUCGUGAAUGAGAGUGUUUAAAUUGGGUUUGUAAAAACAUGUUUUCAGAAUCGAUUUUUUAUAAUUUCCAAUUUCGAAGUAUUUUACUUUUAAUUUCUUCGAAUCCUCUACUCUUUUCUAUGUAUAUUUUGGGAAAUUGAUAAAGAAUUAAGAUGGUGAUAAAAUGACAACUUAAUAAUCAGUGAUUAGUGUGGAUUAUAAUUUUAUAAAUAAAAUGUUUAAACUUACAUCUGAUUACAGUUAUUUUUAUCACUAUCUGGUCUAAUUUUUCUAUCUAAAUAUUAAUGCUUUAUAUUUUAGGUAAAUUUAUUUUCUUAUUUUAUCCCUCUCUUUUUUUAUUAUUUUUUGAAAAAAAAAAUAAUUAUCUAGUGCAUAAAUGAAAUAGUUUUGUACUUAAUGUUCAUGUCAAUUUCAAGUUGAUAAGAAUAAAAAAGAUACAUAAGGUACUUGUGCUUCACUAAUUUCUUUACUAGUACGUAACAAUUACUUGCUCUUAUCAUAUGACCAUCAUCAAAUAAUUUAUCAUUUAUUAAAUAGUUAAAACCUCAUAACAUUUACAUUGAUCGCAUUAAUGUUCUUCAAGACAUGAGUUCUUUUGAAUUUUGAGAAUUCUUCUACCAAAUGUGCUCAUUAAGAGAGGUGUAUGAUAAAAAUCUAAUUAAAUUUGCUUUAUUAUUUGCAAAACUUUUGAUCACAUUUGCUGUUUUUUUUUUUUUUGAAGAAAAAGCACACAAUUCACGUCCCGGGUUGCGAAUUCAUUGAUAAAAUGACAAUUAAAAGGAGGUGCCUUCUCAUUUUUUGAAGUAAAUAUUUCUGAGGGUCUUUUGGUAAUUCACGUAUAACGUAAAGUACCCAUGUUCAAGUAGCUGGUACCGCGUCUUUUUCUUUAGGUGGUGAAAGUGAAACCACAAAAUCCUUAUUCUGUGGCACUGUGCCAUUUCAUGUUGCGUCUUCAACACUGACAUUGAUUUCGUAUAUUUAGAGACACAACUUGACAACACAAAAGCUGCAUUGAAACAGAAAACAGAUUAGAUUCGUAGUUAAGCUUGGAGCAUUUUAAGUUGCCGAGCCAUGGCCUCAAAGCUUCUGAUUGCCACUGUGUUUGUGUUUGAUCUCAUUGCUUUCGGCUUGGCUGUUGCAGCUGAACAGAGGAGAAGCACUGUGAGUUUUCUUUUCCAUAAAUGCAUCAUCAUCAUCAUCACAUCAUCUAAGCUCAUAUGCUUUCUGGGUUUGUUCGGUUAUGUGAUUCUUGUUUGUUGGUUUCUUCUGUUGUUUCUUUUGAAAUUUGAGUCUACCACUCUAUUGGUCAGAUCUACUGAUACAAAUGAUAUGCUUUAGCUAAAUUGCAAUCAAAAUGUCAGAUCUUUUACUGUUAAUCACACACUGAUACACACACACCACAACAAAUUCAGAAACAGUUUUAUAUCUUGCCAUCAAGGAGUAUUUUUUGUGUGAACAAUUGAUUCAAUUAGUUUUAUAACUAAUGAAGCAAUUAAUUCUUGAACAGGCCACAAUUCAAACUGAUUCUGAAAAGAACUACAACUACUGUAUCUAUGACUCGGACAUUUCCACCGGCAUGGGUGUUGGUGCAUUCUUGUUCCUCCUGGCUAGCCAAGUCCUUAUAAUGUUGGCAAGCAGAUGCUUCUGCUGUGGAAAGCCUUUAAGUCCUGGCGGUUCAAGGGCUUGGGCUGUUAUCCUUUUCAUCAUCUGCUGGUAUGUGAGAAUUAGUUCCGAUUGGAUUGCAUUCUAUUGGACACGACUAGAUAGAUUUGGUCAAAUUCUAUACAUAUAUAUGUUGAUUCUUGCUAUAUAAUCUUUUUACAGGGUGUUUUUCUUCAUUGCUGAGGUAUGCUUGUUGGCGGGUUCAGUGAGGAAUGCUUAUCACACCAAGUACAGGACUAUUUGGGGUGAAAAUCCUCCAUCUUGCCAAACUGUGAGAAAGGGAGUUUUUGCUGCAGGGGCAGCUUUCGUUUUCUUCACUGCCAUUGUCUCCGAAUUCUACUACAUUUGCUAUUCCAAGGCCAGGGAAAGCUUCCAGCCAUAUGGCGGAGAAACUGGUGUCGGCAUGGGGACCUACAAAUAAGCUGCUUUAUUGUGUGAUCUUGAAGUAAUAGCUGAACUCAAUUCAACGAUUUGCUUUAGCUUGCAUUUCAUGUCUUAAGGGUUAGUCAUUGAUAGACUGUAAUCUAAGAUGUAUCCGUGACUUUUUUUUGGUUCUUCCUGAACUUCAUUCAUGUUACUGUGAAAUUUUUGGGUGACAUAUAGGUGCAAAUAAUAUCAGAAUGUUCUGUUUCGUUCCUAUACUACAUGUAAAAUUCUUGAUGAAUGUAUUGAACAAGUUAUAUGUUCUUCUAUUGAGUUGCCUGUAAUCUAUCUUGCUCGGUUUAAUUUGCUCUAACUUUGUGUGUUUUCAAUUCUUUUUGAACACUGAUCUGAAAAUAGCCUACUUCUUCUGAAUAUGUUCUCCGAAAAUGUUUAGUGCAAAGAAUAAGGAAUCAGCUCUGAAAAAGUGAAAAAGCCAAAUUGGAAAGAGUGAAAUGUAAGGAUUGUUUGUAGUUGAAUCACUCAAUGAAGUGAACUUGGUACCUAAACUUACUGAUAGCUUCCCUUUGAAUCUUGUAGAGAAAGUGCCACCAUACCAUAUUAUCUUGCAUGAUUUGUGGCUAUAAAAAUGCCGCAUUGGCACCAGAUCUGUAUGCAGUAUCAGCAAAGCAAAUAUCAUUUUUCACUGUAAUAAAAAAAUUUCCAAAGCAUAUGAAUGAAUGUGAAAAUUGUUGACUAUGCAAGGCUUAAGGAGGUGUUGCUAGUAAAAAUGAAAUUUAACAUGUGAAGCAGACAACAAAUACAUCACUAGUUUUUGCAUAAACAGUUGGUUUUUAUGAAGUGGUUGGCCCUACAAUUGUUGGCAAAAAGAAAAGCUGUAGUGGGUUUAGCUAUUGAUUAGUAGUUCUUUAAUCAUGUAAUCCACAAAACCCGUAUGCUAAUUAAAGUUGUAAGGAUAUGAUCAAAUUCAUUUUCUCUGUAUGUCAAAAGCUUGUUUGUAGUCUUGUACAUGAUGAUGAUUAUUGAAAAUGCCCUGCUUCCAACCACCAAGGCCCAAGCAACAUUAUUUGUACAAUUAGACCCAGCUUUUUCAACAUGCCUCAAAGUUUAAGGAGCAGCCAGGCUCUAGCCCAAAAACAUAUUUCAAUGACUUCUUCCUUGGGCUUGGAAUACGAGCAUCAAACACCAGAACUAGGUCAAUCGUAUGCGCGAAGUCUUUAAUUUUCUCUCCAAUUACUCCUUAUAAGAGUGAUGGUAGAAAUAUUAGGGUGCGUUUGGUAUUGUUUUUAAAUCUCAUUUUCUGUUUUUUGAAUUUAAAAAAUACUACAUACGUGUUUGGUCGAUCAUUUUUAAAAAUAUUUUUAAAAAUAUAAAAUUCAUUCUAUACUUUUAACAAAAGAAAUAAGAAAAAAAACUCCUUAUUUUCCUUGUUUUCCAAUACAGUAUUAAGUUUUAAAAUGAACAAUUCUCUUCCAUCAUCUCACAAAAUAAUAAUAUUAUUAACAGCAACAACAACAACAUUAUUAUUAUUGUUAUUGUUAUUAUUCCAAAAAAAUCAAUUUCCCUCACAAUAAUCUUUUCUUUUUACAUACAUUAUAAUAUGUAUGUUUUUAUAUAUUAAUUAAAUCAAAUAUUAGAGUUUAUCAUUUUUCUUUAAACAAAAAAAUUAACAAGAUCACCUAAUUUAUUCUUAAAAUUAAAAUAAUCAAACUAAUUAAAUAAUAAAAAUAAUUAUUCAUUACUUAAUUUUAAGUUCAUGGAAAUUAUUCCAAUAAUCAUUCUUUAAAAUAUUCCUAACCAAACAUAUUUUUACUUUUUUUUUUCAUUUUCAAGAUUAUUUUUUAAAAUGAUACCGAACAUAUUUUUAAAUUUUAAAAAUAAAUUUGAAAAAAAUAACAUUUUCAUUCUCAUUUUUGUUUCAUGAAAACAGCAUUUCAAUCCAAACGUAGCUUGGGAAAUUUAUAAAAAUGGCCAUAAAACUUUUGUAUUUUUCAACUUUAACCCUCCAAAGUUUUUUUCUAUUAUAACUAGCGAAACACUCUAUUUUUGAACUAGAUUACCCUCAUCACUUUCAUCAAAUUUACAAAGGCAUGCCACUUUUUCAAUUCCAGCACAACUAAAUACGGAUCUUCCUCAACAACUUAACAAACCUUCAUCACUCUCGAUAAAUCAAUUGCAUAAUUGAAUAUAUAAUCAUCAAUGGGAGAGCUUCUUAAAAUUAGUUUGUGCUCUUACACAAUGUAAACCUUUAAUCUAUUGAUUUUAUCAACUAAGUUCGAAAUUAAAGUGGGUUUUGUUGCAAAUGUUGUUAUUUUUCAUUCAUAAAAUAAUGUGAUUUGUUAAAGUACUUAGUUUGAGUUGAGAAAUGAAGAAAAAUGAUUUUGGAUUUGAUUUGUCUCGUCGUAAGCUUCAAAACGGUAUAUUAUACGCCUAAAACGGACACAUGUAGCUCAAGUUAUGACUUUCGAAACAUAUAUGAAAUUUAGUGAGACAGGCACAUGUCCCACUUGCCUGUCUCACUAAAUUUCAUAUGUGUUUCGAAAGCAAUAAUUUGAGCUACAUGUGUCCGUUUUAGGUGUAUAAUAUACCGUUUCGAAACUUACGACGAGACAAAUCAAAUCCAAAAUCAUGUACUUCAUAAAAUCUGUGAGUUUAUGUGUGUCAAGUAGUGGGACAGAUGCAUGUCUCACUAAAUUUCAUAUAUGUUUCGAAAGCAAUAACUUGAACUACAUGUGUCCGUUUUAGACGUAUAAUAUACCGUUUCGAAGCUUACGACGAGAUAAAUCAAAUCCAAAAUCAUGUACUCGAUAAAAUACGUGGGUUUAUGUGCGAAAGGUAGUGGGACAGGUGCUUGUCGCACAUAAAUGCAGUGCGUUUAUGUGAGACAUGCACCUGUCGCACUUAUUCUAAACUUCAUUUUUUGCCCGAUUUUUCUGUGUUUUCAAUUAUUUUUCUUCAUUUCUCAACUCAAACUAAGUACUUUAACAAAUCACAUUAUUUUAUGAAUGAAAAAUAACAACAUUUGCAACAAAACCCACUUUAAUUUCGAACUUAGUUGAUAAAAUCAAUAGAUUAAAAGUUUAUAUUGUGUAAGAGCAUAAACUAAUUUUAAGAAGCUCUCCCAUUGAUGAUUAUAUAUUCAAUUAUGCAAUUGAUUUAUCGAGAGUGAUGAAGUUUGUUGAGAGUGAUGAAGGUUUGUUAAGUUGUUGAGGAAGAUUCAUAUUUAGUUGUGCUGGAAUUAAAAAAGUGACAUGCCUUUGUAAAUUUGAUGAAAGUGAUGAGGAUAAUUUAGUUCAAAAAUAUGGUGUUUCGCUAGUUAUGAUAGAAAAAAUUUUGAGGG